GCUGCAUGAAUAUAUGUGUGCACCUAGUGGUCGACUAUGAGGCUCAAACAUUUAUGGGGACUUCAAUUGGCCCAACGCUGAACACAAGCAGGUACAUAUGUAGCAGCAUGGACCGCAAUUUAGAAAAUAGAUCCUCAAGUAAUAUAUAUAUAUAUGUAUGUAUAAUGUGUGUGUAAUGUGUGUGUGUGUGUGUGUAUAUAAUGUAUAUAUAUGUAUAAUGUAUAUAUACAUACAUACAUAUACAUAUAUAUGUAUAUGUAUAUAUGUAUAUAUGUAUAUGUAUGUAUAUGUAUGUAUAUGUAUGCAGAUAUAUAUAUAUAUAUGUGUGUGUGUGUGUGUGUGUGUGUGUGUGUGUGUGUGUGUGUAUAAACACUUAGAUUAUUAUGUUCAAAUUCUUAUCAAACAAGAAAACAAUGUAUUGAACUCUAAAUUGGUGCAACACAUAAUUUGCUAGUGAUCUAUUUUUAAAAAGAAUAAAAUUUUCACAUUUCAACACAAAAUCGCCAUAGCAAUUCAGCUAAAAGUCCAAAACAAUAAGAUAUACUCUCGAGUGAAUUAUAUUUUUCUUUGCUCUCCUGUUUUUGUAUUUAAAUUCUCUUUUAUUGGUUGAGACCUACUAAACUGCAAAACAACCAAAACUAAACCUAAGUUGCCAGGUUAAAAUAAAACUAGGUUUCAAACAUUGCUCAUAAGUGUUUUGUUUGCAUAAAACAAAAUAGAAAGAGCAUACACAACCCAAAAACUCAAAUACAAUUGACUGACAAAUGAAAGAUAAAUUAUUUGCAAUCUAAUCAUAUCAGAAACAUGUCCAUAAAAUUGCUAAAAAUGCCCACAUGUACUAAAUUGUCCACAUCAUCGGAUUUAGAACAUUACCUGUGCAGAACAAUAAGUUCUGGGAAAAAUUUUCAAUGAAAAUUCCAUCAUAUAUAGCUAGAACUGCCUUCAUAAAAAUAAUGAUGAUGCCAUACAUUCCAGAAGCUUAAAUUCUCAAAACUCUUGGAAUAUCAAGACUUAAGAAGACUUGGACAUGAUAUGACACACACAGGCACCAGAAAAGUUAAAUGUCCUAUUUAUUUCAGCAAGAACCAAGGAUUCAAGUACUGGCAUCAAAGGGCAUGUUCUCCAAUGGUUGGCUCUGCACUGAAUCUAUUGAGUAUCAACCUAUGUCCAUACACUGCAAUACGGAGGGCAUGACACAUGCAGCAUCGAAUCAAUCAAUAUCCAGUUCAGCACAAGCUCAGUAUGAAACAACUGACACAAACCGACACAUUAACCCUUCGCAAGAACUAUUGCCACUUGGCUCAAAAUUCUCAGUUCCUAUCAAGAGCCACUUCAGUAUGACAAUUUAAUUCUUAACUAUCCUGUCAAAUGACAUAUUAGUGAAAGUCAUGACAACGGUUUGUUUGGUUGGGGGUUUGUGUGUGUGUGUGUGUGUGUUUUCUUUUUUCCCUUUUUGCUUGGUUUAGGGGGGGGUGUGGUGAAAGAUUAGGAGGGGCUCAUCUACCGUAUACCCACCCCACUUGUCAAGGGCAAACUCCAACUGGAAUUUAACCCCUGCCCCCUUGCCCAACUGGCGGGAGCUGAAACCAUCCAAGGAAGCGCACAAUGGUAUGACAGUGGAAAUCUUGACUAUCCUAAAGACUCAUUUGGUUGACGGAAAGUGGAGGGGGGAAGAGGCACUUCCUAGGAAGUAGAGAAGGGACCUCUUGUUUAGUUGGAGUUUAAAGAGAGAGAAUGAAAAAAGCUCUUCUCAUGAGAAGUCAGUUCCCACAUUUCAUGAAAAGUGAAAACCUAUGGGAGAGGUGGAUUUUAGCACUUCCCAUGGGAUGGGAAGUAGUGCUACUUUUUUUUAUUUCCCAAAAUACUCAUUUAGAUCCAUGGCUAAGAUUUUGCAAAAUAUCAAUAGAUGGUUAGGAUAAAAUAUUGAAUAGUGAUAUAAUAUUAUAUCAAUAUUAUCUUAAUAUUUAUAUGAACAUAAUAUUAAUAUUAUAAUAUUUAUUAUAGUAUAAUAUUAUUUUAAUAUUUAUACUAAUAUAAUAUUUAUAUUAAUAUUAAUAUAAUAUUUAUAUUAAUAUAAUAUUAUAUUUAUAUCCAUAUUAAUAAAUUUAUUAUAUUAAAAUAUUAAUAUUAUGUUAAUAUAUAUUAGUAUUAUAUUAACAUAAUAAAUUAUUAUAGUCUAAUAUUAUAUUAUAAUAUAUUAAUAUUAUAUUUAUAUUAAUAUAAAUAUAAUAUUUAUAUUUAUAUAAAAUUUAAGAGCAAAAAAAAAAAGAUAUGAUCUUAUAUUUACUCAAGAUAUAAUAGGUAUUUUACAUAGUUUUUUCAGAAAAAUGGGUGCUUAACCAAAUAUAAGUUAUUCUGCAAUAAGUCAUUUUUUCAUGGUCAACCAAACAUGCCAAAAUCCUAUUCUCAGGAAAUAACUUCCCAAGAGGAAGUUAUUUCUUGAGAAGAAAAAUUCUUUCUACGAACUAAAUGAGUCCUAAAUAUUAAAUAACACUAUCUUAGAAGGUCUGAUACUUUGAGUAAAACUCCACAUUUUCCCAUCUUUUUCAUAACUGUGAUACACACAAAACGGAUUUUUUUAUAAGAAAUAUCACUAACUAGACAAUGUAGCAUACACAACAACAUACCUUGUUUAUAAUUAUCAUACAUAUUUCUACUUUAUGGACGUAUCCUCAUUUCAGGAUUUUUCAGAAGAAAUGUUGGACACUUUAGAAAAUCUGGAUAAUUGGAAUUGGCAUGAAGUGCCAAGUAACACUCUAAACCUGAGCCUAUUCAAACUUUACAUCACCUGCACGUCUUACCAUCCACCUAGUCAUAUUUGAGAUCUUCAUAUACUAUUAAAAGGCUCAAGAGCUAUAAAGUCAAUAAUUUUAACAAAUUUUCAAUCCAACAAACCAAAAUUCUCAAGUCAAAAAUUAGUUAAAUGUAGUUCCAGUCACAGGUUAUCCAUGCUGGACUUACACCAUACAAGCUUAAUAGGGAUAGGGCUCAAGCUUGGUUUGUUCAUGUUGCUGCACUAAUUACAUUCGAAGUAUGUUUAAUGCUGCUUCAGCUUUUCCAGAGGGGCUGUUUUUAAAGCACUUUUAUGACAGCACUUGAAAAAGUUUGUUUCAAUAGCUUUACAUCCUUUAAUAGACUUAACAGACUUAAGCAAAUCAAACAUUUUUAUCUCUUAAAUCUAGAUGAUGCGUUUUGGCACAACACAUGAUAUCAUAUUCUAGGUCCAGGUUGGGUGCAAGAUGGCUCAAUUAAAUUUGACUUCUCCAAAUACAUUUGCACCACCAAUAUAUUUGCUCUGACACCAGACAUACUCAUUAUUCCUAUGUAAACAACACAUAUGCUUUGUAUAAACAUAAAUGAUAAAUCAGAAGCUAGUUUUCCUCCUCUUCUACAACUUUUUACUUUUGCACAAUAUGAGAAGCCAUUUUAUGAAGCACAGCAAAAGACCCCCUACACUCAAGAAGAGUUAAUUUUUGCUUUAAAAUUUAUAAAAUGACUUUUUUUGAGAAAUAACAAAAACACACCUAAAUUACGAACUGAUAAGAUUUUAUAAAGAAAUCAUAGAUCACGAUUUUCAAAUGUACAAUAAAAAUAAUAAAAUAAUAAAAGCACUUAAAUUUGCAUCUCCUUAAUAUAAUUUUUCUACCCUAAUAAAAAUACAAGCACGUGUCUUACAUCAACAUUUGAUUAGCUGCAAAAAGAAUCCUAAUCACAAAAGAACUUCUAUAACCUAGUGGAACGAUAAAUAGUGUACAAAGCGUAUCCAUUAGAGAAUAUUAAAUACUCUCCAUGAGUGCAAAAGCUUCUCCAUGGUCAACAGCAGCAAAAGACAGAGACAUAAUUGACAUAUUACAGAAGAAACAUGAGAAAUAUCAAGUGGGCAAACCUGCUCGUUAGCAGUAGGAGAAAGGCCUCCAACAUAAACACGCCGAGCAUGUCUAGUUGCCUGGUGAUCACAAAAAAAAUUUCAGACAACAGAAUAUCAUGAUCAGCUUAAAUGAUCAAGCAAUUUAGUUAAUCAUAAAACCUGUUGCGUCAUUGCCUGAUAAGGCAUCAAAGAGAGAGCUGACAACUGCAUGAAUACAGACAAACAUAUGAAUACAUGAAUAAUUUAUAUUCAUAUGGAACAAAAAAACUAAAAGAAAGCAUAAACCUGUCCAGGUGUUGAUGGAAACAUGUUUGGAAAAAUCCCAGGACUAGCACUUGUGGCCCCUGUCAUCUGACCUGCAAAAACAACAAAAUUAGAACAAAACACAACACACAAGCCUAUCACAACAAGCAGCAGAAAUGUAUGAAUGGCAUCAUCUUUAUAAACCACCAGUAAUAAGAGAUAAACCCAGGCCCCAUCAAAUUUAUCAUCUAUAGGGUAUGCAUGUACUGGAGAAAAUAAUUGUAAGAAUACCAAAAAUGAAUAGUUGCCUUUUGAAGGUGAACAAGAACCAUCAAACCAGUGCAUUGAUUCCAAAAAAGCUACAGUAGUCAGCUCACGCCCAUUGGCAGCAUGGUGGGACAAGCGACCCAACAUUGCCUUCUUAUAACAACUUACAUGCAAAAAACAAACAAACCACCACCAAAAAAAAAAAGAACAACAAAAAGUGCACUCAGUUUCCGAACAAAAUCAGAAGGUGGAAAAUUGAAAACAUAACUAGUCACCAAGUAUAGCAGUUCUAAGUGAAUUUGAAAGUCACUAAAACAGACAUUAAAAUGACUAGCGCUUACCGAGCAGAAUAUGCAUCUAAAUAUAAAUGUUCCGAGGUAAACACAAGAAAAAGAAAGCAAAAGUAUAGACACCAAGUGAUUUCUUUGGUGGUGGCAUACCUGCAACGACUGCAGCAGGUAUCAUAGUAGCUGCAGGUGGCAUGUCAAAACCACUGAUACGUUUGCUGCAUUUGGAGAAAAAAAUAAAUAUCAUCAUUUAACGGAUCCAUAACAACAAAAUACUCAAAUAACUAAUUUAGAAAACUAGCAAAUUACAUGAUAAUAAUGCUCCAUGAAGCAAAAAGAAUGAGCAACAAAAAAAGGAUAAGAACAAACAAACAAGGUUCAGAAACUAGCCUAUAAACCGCAUCCAUAAGCAACAGGUUGUGACUCAGCAGUUUUAGUGUCAUAGAUCUUGCUUCUCCUUGUCAAGAGCAUAUUUAUCAAAAAUCCCUUUUUUAUGGUUGCAACCAAUCCCCCGACCACAUCAAGGGGAUCGAGCUGAGUAAUUGGUGAAUGAUCAAAAAGAUAUAUCCAUGGCAUAUUCAUUUUACAGUGAAUGCUUCUCACAGGCUGAGAUGAUGGUAAUGUGAUAGGGGCUUGUGGUGGGCCUGGUGGCAAUUUAAAUUGCAGCUCUAGAAUCUUAGCUCUAUGAUGGCUUGGGCACAGAUUCAACCUGACAGCCAGGUUUGCCUCACUUGUGAUUCAGAACAACAGCACCAACUUGGUUGGAAGGCGGGAAAGGUGAAAACCUCUCAUAUACAAGCAAGGGAACCAGCAAAUAGAGUGGGUGCUGAGCAAUUAUAACAAGAAUAGUAAGAUUUUCAAAAAUAAAAAGGAAGCACAUGCGCAAACAGAAGGAUAGGAAAGUGUGCAUGCGAUAUUUUCCUCUAACAAUCUUCAAGAUGGUUAGACAAGAUCUGAUUAUAUAUCACUAUAAAUGUUAAUUUUUUGUACCUGAAUGAAAGAAACUAUCAUAGACUUGCUUAGUUCAAUGAUAAAAGAUGCCUCUUCAACAUGAUAAUGCCUUAAAACUUUCAUAAUAUGAUACUUUCAUGUUCUCUAAGGGGAGCAAAAAAAAGCUAGCCAAAACAUUACAUGAUUAUUAUAAGCACCAAGCAAAUACCUUAAAUUCAGACAAUAACAAUUAAAUAGUGAACAAAUGAUUCAUAACCUCCAAAUUUCACCUUUUCAUUUUCUUGUCCUGGAAAUGCUUGUGUGGUUGCAUUAUAUAUCUUUUAAAGCUCCAGACUGCCUUAUCAUCCGAGGUAGCCCUCUAUCAUGCUACUACUGCCAAAUGACUUAUCCUAUCAACUUAUCAUAUUAGUCACAAAAACAUAGCGUCACUGAUUUAUCUUGACAUUUAAGAGAUUUCCAUGUUAAAGAAUCUGGAUAAUAUAUAAAAGAGAAAAUCUAAUAUAUGCUCACAGCACUGAACAUGAACUCCUUUUACUGAAACCAAUUUUUCAGAUUAUUCCUCUAUCUUGUAUACGUUGCAAUUAGUCUCCCAAUUCUAGUCUUUUCCCCUCUCAACAUUGCCUUCUCUUCUUCCCCUCAUUCCUCCUCUCCUCUUCCCUUCUCCUUCAUUUUCUCCUCUUCCUCUUCCGCUUUUACCCUAUUCAUCCCUGCACCUGACCCUCAAGACUCCAACCUCACACUCAGCUAAUCUAGCUCAGCGCACACUCCCCUUGACCUCCUCUCUUACUCCCUCUGCUCUCAUCCAAUCAUCACCUCCUCUUCCACGGCUCACUUCAUUUUCCUUCUCUUGCAAUCCCCUCAUCACCCAAGGCCUGCAACUUGGUCCUGUCAUAAUUCCAGGAUUAGCAAGCCUAGGCUGGGCACAAGCUGCAAUUGUUUAACCUCAUUGGCAACUUAGAUGUAUUCAAGUAAUUUCCUAUUUCCUUUGUUAGAAUCAUUGUAUGCUACCAACUCUUGAAUUCCUUUUCAGUAUCCUCAAGCAUUACCAUUUGCCAAUCUACAGAUGUUAUAGACUGUACACCAUGUUUGUUAAAAAAGACCAAAAAGUGUAUGGACUGAGUAAAAGGGGGAAAAACAAAGAUAACCUUUGAACCUCGCAUCAAGGAUGCAUGUAUAUUUGUGCAUAUACAGAACAUAAGCAAACACCAAAAAAAAAAUAUGGACUUGAAAUGAGGUUCACAUGUAUACCAUAGGAGUUCUAUACUACAGUAUGACACCACAAUGGAAUAGUCCUUACAUUGCACUACACAGACACAUGAGCUUUUUAAGCUAGAAGUUAAGGGCUUGCUUGGACAUUACAUGACAUAUCCUUAAAUUGUGAAUGAUUCUCUGGGACAACAGUGCAAAUGCUGCAAUGGAACAGCGCUAAUAUCACAUUACACAAUAUGUUCUUUGAAACAGAAGUGCUUAGUUAGACAUCCUAUGAGAGAUCCUAAAGUUAGCACUAAAGCUUAAAACCAAAUAAGUUGCAAAUAAUGUAAUACAAGAUUCCCAUAACAUAACCAGCCCUUUAGAUGGUAGAUUUGCCUAUAAAUAACUAUUUUGUUUCUUUUUUUCCUCUCUCAAUGAAAGUGAUUGACCAUGCCUUCUUCACCAUAGCUAUCUGAAAGUAUGAUAAAUUCCCUUAUCAUGACAGAAAUCAUAGGCAACCUCAUGUAUAGAAGCAAGACUAAAAGCAUAUGUUUUCAAACCUUAACUAGCAUAAAUCAUGGACACAAGCCUGUUGGUUAUUUGCAACUUACCUCUUUGACCUUGAGCGGGAACGAGACCUCGAUCUAUGAUCAGAUCUACCUCUCGACCGAGAUCUAUGAUGAGAUCUACCCCUCGACUGAGAUUGAGACCGAUGUAUAUCGUACUCAUCUCUGUCUCUGUCGUAAUCCCUAAACCUGAAGCACAGAGAGAAUUAAUAUAAUUACAGCAUUAAAAGAAGGAAUCAGCACUGAUGAUAAGACAAUAAUUGGUUAGAAACAAGCUAUGGAACUAGGAAUGAAGAACAACUGGCAUCAAGAUUUUAGCAAAACAAUAAUCCAGAAAAUCAUGCAUGCCAUUAUAUAUAGAUGCAUAACAUACCUACAUCUAGAAAAGUCGAAGGUGUAUCAUAGCAGGUAAGAUUUACAUAAUAGAACACAAACUUGUAGCAAUAGAAGGUUCAUGUAUAAUAAAACCACUUAACAAUAAAGAAUAACCAAAGUAUACGAGGUGAAGACAAAAAUCUUAACAAGAAAAAUGAAGUUCAAAUGCAGAACACGAGGUAUCAACUCGUUCUUUGACAUUUUUAACUAAACACAAGGUUGAAAGCAAUUAGAAUGCUUAAAUAAACUAUUUAUGCCUGGCAUAUGAAUUAUUGGUAGUGCAACGCAUUAUCAUUAUAAUAUGACAAAUAUAAAGUUAUGACUUCCUGCAUAAAAAACAGUCAGUGUACCUUUCAUGAUCUCGGUUACGGUAAUGAUCAUGAUCAUCAGAUUUCCCGCGGCUGUGCUCCCUCCUUUCACUUCGAUCCCUAUGAUCCCUGUGAUGACGAUCACGGUCCCUAUCCCUAUCUCGUUCCCUAUCUCUCUCCCUUCCCUCAUCACGUUCCCUGUCCCGUUCUCGUCCUCUAUCCUUCUCCCUCCCCUUAUCUCUCUCCCUGUCUCUGCUUUUCGAAGAACCUCUUUCAUGCUCAUGAGUAUUGCUCUGCAAUCACGUGAAGAUGUUAACGGGGAUUAAAAGGAACCGAAGCCCGACAAAUGCUAUAAAAUGAAUUAGACCAUGAAACCCUAAAAUUUUAGAAGAUUCUCGAGGGGGAAACCAAUACCCGAGAAUUCUUAUAAAUGUUCUCCAAGACCCACCCUAAGGCGAACCUUCUAUUGACUCAAUAAACAAGAUCAAAGGCAAAAGUAAUUCUUGCAGGAAAAUAAACUAAAAUUUCCAUCCAAAAAACCGACUGAUCCUAUUAAUCGAAUCGAAGUACAAACCCUAAAUCCGAUCAAAACAAUCAAGAAUCUCAAGUUUCCUCUCAAGACAAUCAAAUCCACCAAAUACUAAAACAAGAUUCAAAGUUCCCGGAAAGAAAUCGUUCUAAUCCAGCAUUGACUCUGGAUAACCAAAUCGAUGCACGGAUUCCAGAAAAAUAACGCAUCUUUACCAAAUCCCCAAGGGGAAACAGAAAGAAAGAGGAGGGGAGCGAAGAGACCUCGGACUUGGAGUCUCCGUAGCCCGGCAUGUUUCCAACUUCUUCCCUUCUUCUACCUAUCUCGCUCUUGUUCUCUCUUGUCCUCUUCUCUCUCGAUCGCGAGCGAGCGACAGCGCUUGGUGGGCAAGGAGACGGCGUCGGCCCGAUGGGCUAUCGAAUACGAUAACCGGGGGCCACAGUAUAUGCCUAUAUAUAGCGCGAGAGCCCUCUCUAUAGAGACGCCCGUUUUUGUUAAACACACCCAGGUAACUGAUUUGGAUUUGUUUGGCCAUGAAGAAAUAACAGCAGUGCGAUCUUAAACACUACGCAAGUGUAGGACUUCCGUUCUUCUCAUGAUACCCCUAUCUUUUUACAAUAUUUUAAAAUUUUUGGCUAUUUCAAGAACACCGUUGGUAAAGUUUCUGUCACUUAUUCAUCACAAUCUAAAGCUUCUUCUUUAUCUCAAGGUUCACAAUUCCUCUCAUUUAGCAAUGACAAGCUUUUUGCGACUCAUGGACGUACUUUCUUGAAAUACCUACUAUAACGUUUUAAAUAUUUCCCCUCAUUGGAAUAUCUCUUUUUCCUAAAAUACCCCUAUGAUAUUUUGAUUUUUAUUAUGAAUUAAAACUCUUAAUACAUAGAAACCGCAUGAUAUGGCAAUUACAAUUUGUUCUUUUGGAACUAUACAGUGAACAAAUUAUGUGUGACCCAUAACUUUAUGACAUCGGUUGCAAAGUAAUCACAUCUUUAUUUUAUCUUAUUCUAAUCUAGAAGAGCAAAAAAAACAAAAAAAAUCAGGGUUCUAAAAUUAAAAGCAACUCCAUCCCAACAAGAAAACAUUGCCAAAAUGAAAAAUAAUCUCUCGACUUGAGAGCUAUCUCAUGACUCUUUAAGCCAAGAGAUAAUCAAAAAGAAUUUGAAUUUAUAGGAUCAUCUCUCUACUGCUUAAGCUUGUUUUAAAAAAUAGCUCAAUAUACACGGGAUCUACAUUAUGGAUUUCUAUAAUUAAUUUUUUUGUCAUUAUUAGUUUUUGUUUUCCAAUUUUCACAAUUGCUGCACUAUAAUGGUUUAAUGAUCUCUGAUUUACCAAAAAGAAUCAUUUAGAACAUUUUCGAAUAGAAAAAGAAAAUUUUAAAAUAAAAAGAAAGUGAAGUUCUAAACUAUGCAUUCAGUAUGCGUUACAGGUAUGUCAAGAUUUUGAUAAAGAAAUAGGUAUCUCAAGAUUUUGAUAAAGAAAUCUUAGAUGAAGUCUCAAAGUCCACAUGACUGCAGGCAUCCAAGGUCUUUCCAGGCACAUUGUAUAUCACUACAGGCUUCAGCCCAUGGGCAUGAACUAUAGACCACUUGGGGUUCUGAGCAACCCUCCAAGCAAUUGUUCCAACUCAUCGUCAACAAUUGGCAUUAGCCUCAUGAAAAAAUGAGAGACUUUGAGACGGAACCCAGAUUGAUUGAGAACAUGUAAGUAUUGGAUUAUGGUCCCUCCUAUGUAGAGUGGGAUUGGUUUUGCUGUCAUCUUUGGUAAUCCAACAGAUUUUUUAUCAUGGUUCUUAGAACAAUCCACGAUAAUAUUUGGGAAGAGUUGUGACUCUUAGUCUUUCCUAUGAGCAUUUAUUGGUUCAAGUCCCAAAGAGUUUUUUCAUCCAAAAAAAAUCAUUAUAUGCUGACUUUGGUGAUUAUAUAUUUAGGUUUGGGUGAGGUAUUUUUGUUCCAAACUGAGAGAAAAAGAGAGAUACAGCAAGAGUAAAAGAAAGAAAAAUUCUAUUGAAUUAGGAUCUGCGUAGCUUCUGUUUCGAGAUUGAUCGGACGGUAAUUUUUUCUCUUCUUGAGCUAAAAUUUUGAAAAUCCGUUCCUAACUUCUAGUUCUUCGAAUCCAACGAUUGGAUUGUGCAUUGAGGCUCCGUAGAUUAGUAGGUAUUCAGUUUAUGUGCUUGCUAUUUUUUUGAUAUUAUCUCACCAUUCUCUUGAUACAUUUACUUGGUAUUGUAAGGAUUAUUUGCUGAGGUGUUGUCAAGGUUUGUGGUCCUUGAAUUGUAGACCUUAUAAUCCUUAUUUGAGUAUAGUGAAGUUUGGAACUGGACCGAAAGGCCCCGUGGUUUUUUCCUUCGUAUUAGAGGGUUUUUCACGUAAAAAUCGAUGUUCUUUUGUGUAUGAUUUUCUUGUUUGUUUUUUGCUUAGUAUUGGUUUGACUCUAUCGGCUAGUUUGCUUUCUCAUAUUUCAUAAUCUCAUACAAGUAAGAGAGUUUUUGAUUUCGUUGUAUUAUCUGUUCUCUCAACAAGUGGUAUCAGAGUCAGAUUUGCUUCGAUUGCUCUGAUCUCUUUUGAUAGUUUGUCUUGUGUGCAGUUAUGAAGGUGAACACUAGUAGGAUGAUUAGCUUGAAUGGUAGCAAUGAUCAAGUUUGGAGGGGGAAGAUGUUGGAUUUUCUCUAUUGUAAGAAUUUUUAUCCUCUGAUGGUUGAUAAAGCUAAGCCCGAUAAUAAGAUUGAUGAUCAAUGGAAUGCUUUCCAUAGACAAGUUUGUGGUUAUAUUCGUUAAUGGGUUGAUGAUAAUGUUUAUAACCAUAUUAAUGAUGAAACUGAUAUAUGCAAGCUAUGAAAGAUGCUUGAGGAUCUAUAUGCUAAGAAGGCCAGCAGGAACAAAUUAUAUUUGUAUCAAAAUUGAUGAGUUUAAAAUAUAAAAAUGGUACUCAUGUAGCUGAUCAUUUGAAUGAAAUGUAGGGCAUUAUAAAUCAAUUGAGUUUCCUGAAGAUUACUUUCGAUGAUGAGUUGCAGGCCUUGGCAUUGUUGAGUUUUUUGCCAAAUAGUUGGGAGAUUUUUCGAGUUUUCUUGACCAAUUCAGUCCCUGAUGGAGUUAUCUCAUUUGCUGGGCGAAAUCUGGUGUGUUGAAUGAAGAGUUGAGAAGAAAGAUCAUUGAUUCCUCAUCUUUUCAUUCAGAAGCUUUCAUCAUAGAAAAUAGAAAAAGAAGCAAAAGCAAGGAUCCUCACAGCCGUGGCAAGUCUCGAAGCAAGUCUUGACCAAGGAAAGAUGUUUAGUAUUUCUAUUGUGAUAAUAAGAGGCAUAUCAAGAAACAUUGUUGAAAAUUGAAGAAGGAAAGGAAGGAUAAAGGAACUGAUGACAACACUAAGAAAGAAGAUGAUAAAUCUAUUCUCACUGCAGAAAACUUUUUUGUUAUUUUUUAUGAAAAUUUUGUUAAUGUUUUCGUAAUGAUCAAGUUGGAUCAUUGAUAGUGGAGCUUCUUUGCAUUGUACCUCAAGAAAGGACUUCUUUUCAUCUUAUACAUUUGGUGACUUUGGUGUGGUGAAGAUGGGCAAUGAUGGAUCAUCUCCGAUUGUUGGUAUUAGUGAUAUUUUUUUAGAGAGCAAUAAUGACAGCCGCUUGAUACUUAAAGAAGUGAGGCAUAUUCCCAACGUCAGGCUUAACUUACUUGUCACUGGGAAGCUUGAUAAUGAAGGGUAUACUUGCAAGUUUGUGGAUGGUCAAUGGAAGCUUACAAAAGAAACUAUAAUUAUGGUCCGAGAAAAGAAGAGUACUACACUCUAUUUGAUGCAAACCAAAGUAUGCAAAAGCUUGGUGAAUAUAGUGGAGAAUGAUGAUGGCUCCGAGAUAUGGCACAAGAGACUCGAGCACAUUAGUCAAACAUGUAUCGAUCACUUGGCUAAGAAGAAUUUGCUCCUCAAGAUCAAAGGUAUACCAUUGAAGUCUUGUGUAGAUUGCUUGAUAGGUAAAUAGCAUCGUGUUUCCUUUAAAUAUGCUCCACCUUCUAGGAAACAAAUUAUUUUGAAUUUGGUGUAUUCAGAUUUAUGUGGUCCUUUUAACCAGCAAAUACUUGGUGGUUCUCGUUACUUUAUUACUUUAUGAUCACUUUCGAAAGAUUUGAGUUUAUACAUUGAGAACUAAAGAUCAAGUUUUAAAUGUAUUUAAGCAGUUUCAGUUAAGUGUUGAGCAGGAGACCAAAAAGAAGAUCAAGUGUGUUCGGUCUAAUAAUGGAGGAGAAUACAUAGGAUCUUUCGAUAAGUACUGUAAAAGUCAAGAAAUUCGGCACCAAACAUCUCCACCCAAGACUCCUCAGCUUAAUGGGUUGGCAGAAUGGAUGAACAGAUCGAACUCUUGUUAAAAGAGUAAGAUGCAUGCUAUCUCAUGCUAAGUUACUAAAGUCAUUUUGGGGUGAGGCUUUGAGCACUGUUGUUUAUGUUUUUAAUCUUACACCUUAUAUUCCCUUGCAGUUAGAUGUGCCACAGAAAGUUUGGAGUGGUAAGGAUGUAUCGUAUGAUCACUUGAAGGUGUUUGGAUGCAGAACCUCUGUACAUGUUCACAAGGAUGAGAGGUCAAAACUUGAUCCAAAAAUUAAGGAGUGUGUCUUUCUUGGAUAUGGCUUGGAUGAUUUUGGCUACAGGUUGUAUAAUCCUACUACAAAGAAGAUUAUUAGAAAUCGAGAUGUUGUUUUCUUUGAGGAUCAGACCGUUGAAGAUAUUAGCAAAGCUGUUAAGAUGCCCAAGUUACAUCAUGAUGAUCUUGGUGACCUCAAUCCUACUCCUCCAUCAGCUUUUGAUACUCAAGUUGAGCAUAAUGAAACAAAUGAUGCUAGCAAUACUGAUGAUGUUGGCAACUUAGAUUCUUCUAUAGAUAAUGCUGAGGUACUACCAGAGAAAGUUUCUUUGAGGAGAGAUAUUAGAGUGCAUCAAUCUUCAACCAGAUAUCCUUCUUCAGAGUAUGUCCUGUUGAUUGAUGAGGGAGAGCCAGAGUGCUACCAGGAGGCUAUCUCAGGUGAGCUAAAGACAGAGUGGUUGAAGACUAUGCAGGAAGAGAUGAAGUCCUUACAUGAGAAUAAUACCUAUAAGUUGGUGAGACUGCCAAAGGAAAAGAAAAUCUUGAAGAACAAGUGGGUGUUCAGAUUGAAGACACAGGAGCAUACUUCACACCCAAAGUACAAGGCAAGACUUGUUGUUAAAAGUUUUGGUCCAAGAAAAGGAGUUGACUUUGAAAAAAUUUUCUCUCUAGUUGUAAAGAUGUCAUUCAUCAGAGUUAUACUAGGUUUGACAGCUAGUUUAGAUCUUGAGAUUGAGCAGAUGGAUGUAAAGAUCAAUUUUCUUCAUAGCGACUUGGAGGAGACCAUUUACAUGGAGUAGCUUAAAGAUUUUCAGCUAAAAGAUAAGGAGAAUCUAGUUUGUAAGCUUAAUAGAAGCUUAUAUGGGCUGAAGCAAGCACCAAGACAAUGGUAUAAGAAGUUUGAUUUGUUUAUGGGGGAGCAUGGCUAUACGAAGACUUCUUUGGAUCAUUGUGUAUUUAUAAAAUAUUUUUUGGAUAGUGAUUUUCUUAUUCUUUUGUUAUAUGUUGAUGAUAUGCUAAUUAUUGACAAAGAUAUGUCUAAAACUGAUAGGUUAAAGGAGGCUAUGAGCAAGUCUUUUUUGAUGAAGGAUUUGGGGCUAGUGAAGUACAUCUUUGGAAUGAGAAUCACCCAUGAUAGAAAGCCCAAGAAGCUAUGGUUAUCAUAGGAGAAGUAUGUUGAGAAAGUGCUUGAGAGAUUCAAUAUGAGCAUAGCUAAAGCUGUUAGCUGUCCUUUGACAAAUCAUUUCAAGUUAAGCUCGAAGCAAAGUUUGUGUUUUCAAGAUAAAAAAGAUGAAUGAAGAAUGUUUCAUAUGCUUCUGUGAUGAAAAUUUUGAUGUAUGCCAUGGUUUACAUGAGACCAGACAUAGCUCAUGCAGUUGGAGUUGUUAGCAGAUUUCUCUCCAAUCCUGAUCGAGAGCAUUAGAAUACCGUCAAGUGGAUUCUUCGCUAUCUUCAAGGUAUUUUUAAGUUAUGUCUUUAUUUUGGAAGUAAUGUGCCAGAGUUGGUUGGUUUUACGAUGCAGAUUGGUCUGACGAUAUCAACUCGUGAAAGUCCACUUCAGGUUAUCUAGUUAACUUUGCAGGGGGAGCUAUGUCAUGGUAAUCAAAGUUGCAGAAAUAUGUUGCUCUUUCAACCACUGAAGCAGAGUUCAUCGCAGUUACUGAAGUUUGCAAAGAGAUGUUGUGGAUGAAGAGAUUUUUGCAGGAGUUAGGACUCAAGCAGGAGAGAUAUCAGUUGUAUUAUGAUAGUCAGAGUGCUAUUCACUUGAGCAAGAACUCCAUCUUUCAUUACAAAUCGAAGCACAUCAAAGUAAGGUAUCAUUGGAUCCGUGAUGUGUUUGAUAAGAAGCUGUUAGAGCUUGUGAAGAUCAUACUACUGAUAAUGGUACUAACAUGAUGAUAAAGAUUCUUCCAAAAGAGAAGCAUGAAGCUUGUUGCCGAAUUACGAGCAUGGUUGAGCCUUCCACAUAGUCAGGAGGGGGAGUUUGUUGGAUUAUGGUCCCUCCCUUAUGGAGUGGGAUUGAUUUUACUGUCGUCCUUGAUAAUCCAACAGAAUUUUUUAUUAUGGUUCUUGGAAUAAUGCAUGGAGAUACUUGAGAAGAGUUGUGACUCUUAGUCCUUCCCAUGAGCAUUUAUUGGUUCAAGUCCUAAAGGGUUUCUUCACAUGCUUACUUUGGUGAUUAUAUAUUCAGAUUUGGGUGAGGUAUUUUUGUUCCAAGCUGAGAGAAAAAGAGAGAUGCAGCAAGAGUAAAAGAAAAAAAAAUUCUAUUGAAUUGAGAUCUGCAUAAUUUUUAUUUUGAGACUGAUCGGAUAGUGAUUUCUUUUCUAAUUGAGCUAAAAUUUUGAGGGUCCAUUCCUAACUUUCAGUUCUUCGAAUCCAACAGUUGGAUUGUGCAUUGAAGCUUUGUAGAUCAGUGGUAUUCAGUUUAUGUGCUUACUAUUUUUCUGGUACUAUCUCUCCAUUCUCUUGAUACAUUCACUUGAUAUUGUAAGGAUUAUUUGCCGAGGUUUUGUCAAGGCUUGUGGUCUUAAUUUAUAGAUCUUGUAAUUCUUAUUUAAGUAUAGUAAAGCUUGGAAUUGGGUAGAAAGGUCCCGUGAUUUUUUUCUUCGUAUUGGAGGGUUUUUCAUGAAAAAAGGUGUUCUAUUGUGUAUGAUUUUCUUGUUUGUUUUUUGCUUGGUAUCGAUUUGACUCUAUCGGCUAGUUUACUUCCUCAUAUUUUGUGGUCUCACACAAGUGGGAGAGUUUUUGAUUUUGCUGCAUUAUUUAUUUUUUCCAACAGUAAGUCCUAUAGAAAAGGAUGUCAGCAUCAAUUGCUUAUAGACAAUUAAGAAAUUACAGCUUAGAAAUCACUUUCUAGCCACUCUAAGUUAGAAAUGCAUGGAAUUUGACUUCAGGCAACAAAAAAAAAAGAGCACAUGCACAAAUUAUGUACCUAUACUUUUACAAUAAAAAAUAUCUAUCGAUAUACUUAUCUUGAAUAUUUUAGUCAUAAAUUAUUCUCACUCUUUAGUUUAAAUCAUUUUUACUACCAGCAUAGCUAUUAUUGCUAUAUUUAUAUUCAUGCAAGACACUAUACCAAUUUCAUCCAGAUUUGAACCAAAAAUCAUAUUUUAAGCUUUACUUGAUUUUUUUAAUUAAAAAUCAUUAUAACCAUUUACAUUUGUAUAAGAAAAAUUGCUCAUAACUAUAUUUUUAGAAAUACAAUUAUGAGCUAGGGAGGGGAAGGAUGGGGUCAUCUUCGAAGCUAUCUAUGGCCCCUUUGAGCCAAAAAUUGAACAUAAGGAGAUGAUUUGGUCCUCGAAAGUGGAAUCGAAGCUCCCAAGUGCCAAGAAAAUAGGAAAAGGGAGGAAAGAUAUAUCGGAAAGAAGUGGGUGGACUAGAAUCCUGAAUGCUUAGGUGUCAAAGUAGUGAAAUUUUGGUGAACUCAAAGGUCUAGGUAAGCUUAAUAAUAUGGGUAAUGGACUAGAUGGAUUGCUUAUUAAUUCAUUUGCAUCCUAGGUUCAAAGCUCAACCCCUAUCCAAGUACCUUACUAGCAUCCAUGUGGAAACAUGUUUGGAAACUUUGAAUACCUACUAUGGAAAUAUAUCAUGGAUGUAAGGUAGAAUAUACACAGUUUCACUUUAUUCAAUAAUUUGCAAUUACUAACCAAUCAAGCUGGUAAAAAUCAUUUACUUUUUAGUACCAAAAAAAAUUAUUUAUUUUUCAGUAGUUGUAAUAAAUGUAUGGGAUUGAAUCAUCUUUUUCCUAAAGUUUGAUCAGAGGUUAGAAAUCAGGAAUAACAAUAACAAUAAAAAAUUACACCCCUUCUGCUUAGAGUUAUUUUCACUUAGCAUCUCUUGAGUUUAAAAUAUUUCAAUCAAGUCCUUGAAGUUAGUUAAGCAGUUUGGUAUAGUCUCUAACCUCACCUGAUAACCAAUGCCAUCUCAAAAAAAGUAUUUACUCCUCUUUACCCCUUCUUUUAAUUAGCCCUUUUCAUCUCUUCUUUUCUUUCAUACUUCAUAAGAUAUACACCCUUUACUCUCCAAAGCUCCUCUCUCUCUCUCUCUUCUCCUCUCUUUCUCAUUGCCUCUCAUUGAUAAAGACUAUGACAAGAGAUUCUAUCCCUUAUCUCUAUCAAUGCUGAGAGCAGAGCUAAUUGAAUUUCAAUCACAUAUUUUUUUCAUUUGCUGUUGAGUUACUAUAGUCAUCUUCCUUCAUUUAUUCUUCACCAUGGGCAAAGAGGACAUCCUCUCUUUAUCCUGGAUCCAGAAGUUCCUAGACACCUUCCUCAUCUAUCAAGAAGAGUUUCAUACAAUUUUCUUCAACAAUAAGGAGAUCCUCUCUCCUACCUCUUUCAACCAUCUCAUCUCCGAUUUCUUUAAGUGCAGUGUCAAAGCCCCUGAUGCCAGCAAUACUACUAUGGUGAAAGAAGCACCUCAAGAGCAUCCUUGCUAUCCUUAAUCUUUUUCACAAGAAACUCAAUGGGGGCCAAUUCCACCAUGCCCUCAAAGCCCUAAUUAGCUUUACCAUGCUCGUGCUCAAUGAGGAGAAGACCGGCUCCGUCCUCAACUACUGCAACUGACAACCCACUUGCAACCACUAUUUGAUGAAGAGGAUUAGAAAAUGAUGAUAAGGGAGAAAUGUUUUCUCCAUGUUGGCUUCUUGUUUUCUUUCUUAAGAUUGGUUAGUUUCAUGCCCAUGGUUCUGGUGUAUAGACAAUAUUUCUUCGGAUCACGUUAGGUCGGUGGGGCUUGCAUCCUCCUCAGGAUUUGGUAGUUGUUCAUUAUCAUUGAUCUCCAUUAAGAUUUGAGCCCUCGUGGCAUUCAGAGGAGUGCAAAUGAUGAAUCUGCUAGGUGGAGGGCAUGACUGUCGACCUCGAGGAGGAGUACUAGAUUGAUGAGCCCAGGGAGAAGUUCAGGACCUACAUGCGCUCCUUCCUCAUCGGUCAUCGUGCCUCAAUUCAUUCUUCUUUUUUUUACUUUUCUCUUCUCUAUGGGUUUUCUUUUUAGGAGCCUCCGUGUAGCUCCAUAGCUUCUUUGGUAUUAGCAUACUUCUCUAUCCAAGCUAGCAUCUCGACGAAGUCCUUCAGAUAUCUUUUUUCAAGAGAGAAAAAAAAUAAUACUUCAGAAGUCCAUCCUUUAGAGCCAACAUAGCAACUGACUAGUUGAGAUCGUGUACUUCAAAUGUAGCCAUAUUGAAAUAGCUCACAUAAUCUCUGAGGGCUUCUCUUUUCUUCUGUUUGAUGUUCCUAAGGAGUCGGACCCAUGGCAUUGUCAUCGACUUCUGACAAAGUGAGCCAUGAAUGACCAACCAAGCUGUUCAAAGAAGUAGAUCAAACUCGGCUAUAAGCUUGAGCACCAGUACCAAGCUAUCUUCUAUAAAGUAGAGGGAAAGGCCUAGCAAAGAAUCCCAUUGGCAGCUCUAUGUAGGAGCAUGAGGGCCUUGAAACUUUUCGAGUGGUCCACUAGAUCGAUCGCUCCAUCAUAAACCUCUAGCUGUGGUAUUUGGAAGUGGCUCGAAAUUAGCUCAUUCAUGAUCUUUUUGCUGAAGGAUAAGUCGGCCUUAAAGCCAACCUCAUCAUCCUAUCUCAAGACCCAACUGCGCAAUAUCUCGAUCUAUCGAUGUAUUUUUUGGAGCGUCCGAUCUAUAUCGACAUUCUGAGCAAUAUAGUAUUCUGAGUGCCGAGGCAGUGAUCAUCUCGAGGUGGAGUCCUUCUCUGGUUGGGAAGUCAAGGAAUGUUGCCAAUGGCCCCAUUCUGAGCUCUUUGGUUGGCUAUGCCGACUUUGAUAUACUCGAUUUGGACUAUGAGGAAGCGACUGCGGUUGUUGCUGUUGUGAGGUACUUAUUGUGGGGCUAUGGUUGCUUGCUGGAUUGCUUGGAUGGCAGCAAUCAAGGUUUGCACCUACUAAAUGAGUAGGUUGAAUUAUUCGAGGGCCAUCCUGGAGCAUGUUGAGGGUGUGGAGGCUGGUUCUUAGGCUAGUGAGGUAACACCUCAACCUCAGGUGGCAUCUCGACUGGCUGGGUUCCACACCUGGCUAGCCAAGAUGCCAUCCCAUUAAACUGACGUGAGGCACUCAAUCCUCCUCUUUGAGAUCUUAUGAUUGUAGACUCUUCUUUCUUUUCAAAUAAUCUUGGAUCUUUCCUCUAAUACCAAUCUAUUAUUAUUAAUGGCCAACUUGAUUUUGGAGCAGAUAAAUCUGGGAUGGCUAGAGUUUGAUACUAUAUCGGAAGGAGGAUAACCGAAAUUGAGAGCCAAGGAAGGAAGAAAUCAUGGAAUCAUGGGUGCUGCAUGUAGAUGGAUCAUCAAAUUCGAUUGGGUUGAGAGUUGAGCUGGUCCUCACUAGUUUAAAAGGAGUGGUUGUCGAAUGCAUCUUAUGGUUUAGUUUUCCAACUUCUAAUAAUGAAGCUGAGUAUGAGACCCUCGUAACCAGCCUCAAGAUUGCUAAGGAGCUGGACGUAUGAAAACUAAAGGUCUGUAGUGACUCGUAACUUAUCAUCGGCAAGUACGAGAAGAAUACAAAUCCCUGAAAUCUAAUAUGGUGAAGUACCUAUAGAAAGUCAAAGACAUCAUUUCCAUCUUUGCUAGCUUCAACAUUCAGCUAGUCCCCAAGUUGGAAAAUAUCAGGAUAGGCAUGUUGUUGAAGCUUAUGACCUCAAGAUUGGCCAACCUCCACAAGCCUGGAACCAAGAAGUUAAUGUUGGUAUUAUAGAUGGAAACAGUGCCAAGCUGGAUGGAUCCAAUGAUUCAAUACUUCAGGACAACAUACUUCCUAGCAAUCUUAAAGAAGCUCGAAAUUUGAGGCACCAAGUGCCUCAUUAUAUCCUCUUCAUGGACAAGUUGUAUAAAAGAUCCUUUUCUCCAUCUCUUCUUAAAUAUCUACACCCAAUCGAAGUAGAUUACGUCCUUCAAGAGAUGCAUGAAAGAAUAUGUGGGACCAUCUAAGGGGAGGUCAGUAGGAUAUAAGAUGCUUCAACAUGAUUACUACUGGUUGAUAUUGCGAUGAGGCAGUCAAUCUGAUACAGAAGUGUGAUAGAUGCCAGAGAAAUGCUCACAUCCAAAGCCGACCUACCACUCCCUUGACAUCUAUUGGUGCACCCUGGCCCUUCAUUCAAUGGUGAAUGGAUAUUCGUAGGUGCUGUUUGGUAUAUCACCAAUGAGAUGAUCACUAAGUGAUGUGAUCACUAGGGUGAUAUGAAUACUAAGAUGAUAUGCAAAUACUCAGGUGAUAUGUAAUCACCGUAUUUGGUAUAUCACUAGAAUACCACUGAAAAUAAAACUUCACUGUGUUUGGUAUAUCAUCAAAUAGUGAUAGUGAUAAUGUAUAAAAUACCAUAAAUAGCCUUAUACAUUAGUACAUAAUAAUUACUCUACAACUUGAUUAAAUAUUCUACAUUUAUAACUCCUCACAAAAAUAUAUAACAGUAGUAAUAAUAAUAAUAUUUAUUUUUUUAUUUAUUAUUAUAGAUAUUUAUUUUGAUGAAUCUAUUAAAAUAAUAUUAUGAUAAUAUUAUAUAUAAUCAGGUUUGACUGGGUUCAAUCAAUUUUGACCAUCAAUAUCAGGGCUGUCCAUUAGGAAUGAUUUAGCCCAUUAAAAUAAAUUGAGAAAAAAAAAGCAUGAAGGAUUUAGCAUGAUCCAUCCAUGCCAAUUAACCACAUCUAUCUAUAGAAAUAAAAUAGGUAUCUAAUAAAUAAAUAAAAGAUACCCAUAUCAUUUAACUAAAUCUAUCAAUAAAAAUAAAAAAAUACAUCUAGUAAAUAGGCAUCUAUAGAAAAAGAUAAGAAAAAUUUUUAUUUCUUUCCAAUUUACUAACUAGGAAUAUUUUUAUCUCAAAAUAAUUUUAGCACAUCACCAGUAUCCAGUGAUGUGCUAUCACCUAGAGUAUGUGUGGUGAUAGCAUCACUAUAUUGUAUAGUGAUACUAUCACCAAAUUUAUCACUGGAUCCUUCAUCACUGGAUGAGAUUUUUCAAUAUCAAACAAGAUAAUCACAUCACCUAACUCACAUCACUGGGGUGAUGUGAAAUAUCACCCCUUACUAAACAACACCUUAGACUAUUCUCCCAAGUCUUAGGUUAAUGAAAGUUUCUAUUCAUUGCUAUUGACUAUUUCGCUUAGUGGAUCGAGGCAGAGCUGUUAACUCACAUUAUAGAUCUUAAAAUACAAGACUUUAUGUGGAGGCUAUCAUUUGUUGAUUCAGCCUAUCUCAGAUCAUCAUCACCAAUAAUAAUUGACAAUUAACAAUGCUUGGUUCAGUGAUUUCUGUAGGGAGCUCAACAUUACCCACCUUCUAAACUCGGUAGGCCACCCUCAGAUGAAUGGCAAGGCCAAGGUGACCAAUUGGACCCUUUUAUAAGGCUUGAAGGCAUGGUUAGAUUGAGCUAAAAGAUUUUGGACAGAUGAGCUUUAUAGUGUACUCUAGGCAUACCAAACUAUCUAAUGGUCUCUCACUAGAGAAACACCAUUCAACCUUGCCUUCAAAAAUUAUAUCGUCAUUCUACUCGAGGUCGGCAUCCUUUCAUCUUGAGUAGAAAGCUUCAACGAGCAAAGCAAUCCAGAAAACCUACGGGUGUAUUUGGACUUGCUCAAGAAAACUAGCUAGAGAACAAGCUCAUGUUCAGAUGGUAGCAUACCAGCAUAAGGUAGCUCGGUAUUACAACUCUUGAGUCAAAGGCAAUAUAUUUUGAGCCAGCAACCUAAUUCUGUGGAGAGUUGAGAUGUCCCGACCAAGUAAGGAAAGCUGGCCCCGAAUUGGGAAGAACCAUAUCAAACCAAGGAGAUCAUUCAUCCCAGAAUGUAUUCACUAAGAACCUUGAAUAGAAGCUCGAUCUCCCAGAUUUGGAACUGAAAACUUACGGAUGUAUUACCAAUAAUGUAAAAAUUAUUUUCAGUGAUAUACUUAGUAAUAAAAGUCUUAUGUUGCAUUCAAAUCCAGCAAAUUGAAUAACACCUAAUAAUCUAUAUUUUGAAACUCAAAACCUUGAUCGAUCGAGAAGCAAGGGGUAACCCUAUAAAAGAAUCCUUGGAGCCAUGGCUCUUUGUGCCAAAACAAGCCGAGCUCAAAAUCUCGACUGAUCGAGUAACUAGGGAUAACCUCAUAAGAGAAUCUUUAAGAGCAUGGUUCCUUGUGCCAAAAUGAGUUGAGCCCAAGGCCUCGACUGACCGAGAAGCAAAGGGUAACCCCAUAAGAAGACUCUUUGGGGCAUCGCUCUUUUGCAUCAAAACGAGCCGAGCUUAAGACCUCAACUGACCGAAAAGUGAGGGAUAAUCUCAUAAGAGGAUCCUCGAGAGCAUAGCUCCUUACACCAAAAUGAGCUAAGCUCAAAUCUUCUACUAAUCAAGAAAGAAGGGAUAACCCCAUCAUAGGACCCUUGGAAGUAUAGCUUCUCAUACCAAAAUAAACUAAGUCUAAGAUCUCAGUCGAUCAAAAAGUGAGAGAUAACCCCAUAAGAGGAUCCUUGAGAGCAUGUCUCCUUAUAUCAAGACAGACCAAGCUCGAAAACUUAUACCCGUGUUACUCGAAAAAGGUUGGAUCUGAAAAAAAAUAUCUACCUAGACAGCAAAACAUGGCCUAGGAAUGCCAAAGCGUAAAAGAGCCUAAGUCAAAAACUUCAAAAAAAUAUGUGAAAGGUUAAUUUGGUGCAACGCCAAGAAUCGGAUGAGCCAAUGAAUGAUUUAUUUUAGUAUUCGUUAAAAGGUUGGAUGUCUCGAUCACCUGCUUAUUUCUGUACCUUAUCAUGAGGCCAAUCGAGCUGGUGAUAAAAGUCCACUUUGGUGUCAACAUUCAUUCACUCAAGAGGAAAAGAGAAAGAAGUUCGGCACUUAAAAAUUUUGGAAAGGAAAAGUACUUUCAUUAGAAGUUCGAAAUAUUUACACAAGAAAGGUCGAACCAGUCGACUACAAAACUAGUUAAGAAAAAUCAAACUAAGAUUAUAAAAAAUAAAAAAGAAAAAAAGAAUAAUUUUAGGCUUCUGCCCGACCUGCAGCUUCCUUAACCCGACCUGCAGCUUCCUUGACUGGAUUUGUAACUUCCUUAGUGGUGACAGUCUCCAGCACGGCGACUUCGAAGAUUCUAUACUCCUUGAGAGUUAUCUCUAAAAAGAGGCUAAAGUGGUAGUCAAUGGAUAAGAAUGACUAGUCGAGUUCGACGUAACAUUUAGCAACCUUAGGCCAACACCCCUGGAGUCCAAGGUUGUAAGAUUCUCUAGCAAACUCAACCUUCUCAUUGGCAAGCUCCUUCGAACCCCGAAAGUCCUCCACCACCUUCUGAGCCAACUCAGCCUCCUAAGCCUUCUCCUCUGCCAUCACCAAGUUCUCCUUCACUAAUUUAAGUGCCUUCUCAGGCGCCUGACCUCUAUCCCAACCACGAUCAGGAUGACCUAGACUUUCUUUUCGGCUCUCUCUACCUCUAGGGCCCUCUCCUUAGUGUUUUCGCCUUCCAUCGGACCUCGACUUUCUCCAACCUCGCCGCCUUGGUGGACUUCAUGAAAUGGAUGAGGUGGUAUGCUAGCUAAACAAAGAAAAGAAAAGAAGAAAAGAGAGAGGAGGAAAGAAGAGAAAGUUAGUCGGCCUGAGCAAAAUAACAAAAAGUGAAAAUAAAAUUAAAAGUAUGAGGCUUGGACCAUUUAUCCAAAUGAAGGAAUCAUGGGCAUCGCUGUGGUGAAAGUUGGAGCCAGACUCCUCCAACUUUUUCUCCUCCACUAAGAGCAAAAUCUUUGCAUGAGGUCCCAUGCUACCCAUCAGCUCUCCAGUAUAGAGUCCGAUGAAUGCCGAACCAUGGCAAUGCACAAUCCCUACUCAACCUUGUAGAAAAAACUGAUAGUUCAAAGCAUGUAUUUUUAAAAUUUUACAGCGAAAAAUAAAAGAUUAAACACUUUAAUCUUCUAAACAUGUCUUGGAUUAGAUCUAAAUGAUCAAUUAAAGAUUUGUGACAUGAAAAAUUUAUAUACAAAAUCUGAAAUAAAACAGAAAACUACAUCGAUCACAUCGAUGCCCUGAAUCCGAUCUAACCUUUAGAUCACAUCGGUUGAGUUUAGAACUCAUCACCUUUUCAUAGAUCGAUGAUCUCUACUACUAGUAGAUAUGGUACGAAGCUCUCACUGAUAUCGAACAGUCGCACAGAUCGUCCGACCUCUACAGAUUAUCCACUCGAAGCUCUGAUCGGAUCUUUUUUUCUGGGAGUGCUAGCUCGCAUCGAAGACUCUAAAUGGCGGAUCUUCCUUCGCGGGAGUGAUAGCUCGCGUCGAAUGCUCUAGAUGGCUGUCCAAGCAUUUUUCUUCGGAUCUUUCAGACUCCUUAAAGAUGUUUCUACAAGAGGUUCCAGAUUUGAUUUAAUUAAGUCCAACUCAAUGGGUUUAUUAGAUUAUGUCGGUUCUUCUACCGAUCGAAUUGCAUCAAGUUCAUCUUGGAGGUAUUAGUUCCUUCUCCAAGGAACUUCUUUUCUAGAAAGAUUAUCUUAUUGCUGAUGAACACCUUCUAUUCAUCAGCAAGGUAGAAGUAAUACCCCUUGGUCUCUUUUGGGUAUCCUACAAAUAGAUACUUGUCAGAUCUAGAUCCAAGCUUGUCAGUUUUCAAAUAUUUGACAUAAGUCAGAUAUCUUCAAAUCCUAAAGUGAGAGAGUGCUGGCUUACGCCCUGUCCACAUCUCAUGUGGUAUUUUACUUGUGGACUUACUUGAAACUUUAUUUAAAAUAUAACAAACUGACUCAAGUGUAAAUCUUCAAAAAGAGAUCAGUAGACUUCGCAAAGCCCAUCAUGGAUCGAACCAUAUCUAACAGGAUUUGAUUCUUCUUUUUCGAUACACCGUUAUGCUGUAGUAUUCCAAGAGAGGUCUAUUACGAGAGAAUCCCAUUCUCUUCUAAGUAUGUCAGAAAUUUACUGGAGAAGUAUUCUCCUCCUCGAUCGGAUCGAAAAAUUUUAAUACUCUUUUUAAUUUAAUUUUUUACUUCAUUAUGAAAUCGUUUGAAUAUUUUAAAUGAUUUUAACUUAUAUGUCAUUAAGUAGACGUGCCCAUACUUUGAUAGACCGUUUGUAAAUAUAAUGAAAUAAUAAUAUCCAUCUCUGGUACUAGUGUUCAUCGGUCAACAUAUAUCAGUAUGUAUCAGAUUUAGAACUUCACUGGCUCGCUCAUUUUUUUCAGUAAAAAAUGCAUUGUUAUUUUUUUAAGAAAACAAGACUCACAGAUUGAAAGUGAUUCUCAAUCNNNNNNNNNNNNNNNNNNNNNNNNNNNNNNNNNNNNNNNNNNNNNNNNNNNNNNNNNNNNNNNNNNNNNNNNNNNNNNNNNNNNNNNNNNNNNNNNNNNNNNNNNNNNNNNNNNNNNNNNNNNNNNNNNNNNNNNNNNNNNNNNNNNNNNNNNNNNNNNNNNNNNNNNNNNNNNNNNNNNNNNNNNNNNNNNNNNNNNNNNNNNNNNNNNNNNNNNNNNNNNNNNNNNNNNNNNNNNNNNNNNNNNNNNNNNNNNNNNNNNNNNNNNNNNNNNNNNNNNNNNNNNNNNNNNNNNNNNNNNNNNNNNNNNNNNNNNNNNNNNNNNNNNNNNNNNNNNNNNNNNNNNNNNNNNNNNNNNNNNNNNNNNNNNNNNNNNNNNNNNNNNNNNNNNNNNNNNNNNNNNNNNNNNNNNNNNNNNNNNNNNNNNNNNNNNNNNNNNNNNNNNNNNNNNNNNNNNNNNNNNNNNNNNNNNNNNNNNNNNNNNNNNNNNNNNNNNNNNNAACCCCCUCUCAACUUUUUAUGCCCCCACUCUUAGAUUUCUCACAUCAAAAAUCACUUUUAAUCUCGCAUAAAACUGAUCCCUUCUUAAGGGUGGCAUCCAAUAGAAGAUAAGGAUAAGGAAAAGAUAGUUUUAGUUCAAUUUCAAAUAUUGAUUAAUUCUUAUCACCAAUUCAAAUCAAAUUUGAAUUAAAUUUUAAAUUAAACUUUAUCCUCAUCUUAUAAACUUAGAGAGGGGUUGACCAAUAUCAGAUUGGUGCAAAAAAUCUCAUGCAAAAAUACUUUAUGCAUGAAGAAAGGUGAUGGCGUGAAAAGAAGAGUCCAACUCAAUUUAGACUCUAGGUUUUCAUUCAAAUUCAAAUCUAUUUGAACUCAAAUUUAAACUAACCAAUUUUUAAUUCAAAAAAAAUUAGAUGUAGAUGUGGAAAAGCUUCUGGGCAUGAGAAAAAUUCACGUAAAAAAUUUUUCUUGCAUGAAGAAUAAGAGGGCGCAAAGAAAGGAGGCACAAGAGAUUUGAAUUCAAAUUAUUUUCUCAUCCAAUUGAUUUUUAACCCAACUAAAUUAGGUUAGACCCAAUUAGAUUACUAAAUUUAAUCUAAUUAGGUAUUAAAUAAUUUUGAUUAAAUCUUAAUCAAAUAAAAAAUUAAUCGAACUCAAGUUCUGAUCAAAUCAGGAAUCGAACAUCCUUAGCGAUUAGGUCAUCUUAUAACCUAAUCGGAUCAAACCAAAUUAAAUCUAAUUUAAUUAGAUUUGAUCCAAAUCUUAAUGCUCAAUCAAAUUGAGCUAAUUAGCAAUCUAAUUACUAAUCAAUCCUCCUAUAAGUCAUCAACAAUUAGAGAAUUGAUUUAUUACAACUUUUGCACAGGGUAAUCAUCAAUCGAAUUGACUGUUUUAUCCUAGAAUGAUUCUUAAUCGUCGAUCAGUCAUAUGAUCAAUCAGAAAUUUUUUUUGAGUGUGACCCCAUAGAUUCGAAUCUAAGUCGGUAGUAUAAGAAUAAUCUUUCUAUACCAAUUAAAGUGACCAUCUAGCAAUGAUAUCCGACGUCUGGAUAGGUCGAAAGAUUGUGAAGUAUCAUUCAAAAAUCUAUUGACAUAUGGUUACCGUAUAAUUCAUCUCUUUGAUCCAAAUGCUUAAGAUGACCUAGGCUUUAACUGUCAACCUUGAUAUGAUCAUCCAUAUUGUAUUUCAAUUUUUAAAAUUUAUCACAUGGAUUAUCCCAGUUGAGAUUUUACUGAAUUAAAAUACACUGAUACAUUAACUCCUACUUAUUUGGAGGGAUCAAUUCCAUCUUGACUCACACACCGACUUCUCAAGUAUUUGACUAUGUCCAAAAAUCUUUCAUCACUAAAUUAGAAAUUCAGGUAGUCCGGCAUCAAAGUACAGUGAGUUGCUUGCAAGUCACCGUGGUGAUUUCAGGUCAGAGGAAUACUUAUAUCCAUAUCCUUCGUGAGCUACUCUUGACAGUAGAGUACUCAGUAGUUGGUCAUAUUUAGUGAGAUGUACUCCUAUAUCUCACUUGUAUGCCAUGUCAGUGUCUCCACACUUUUUGGUUAAGAGGACAACCAACGUACAUGACACACAACGAUCUAUACUUGAUAUAGCUAUCAUUUUAAUAAUAGUAUAUCAUUUGGNNNNNNNNNNNNNNNNNNNNAUAAUAAUAAGCUCAAUCAUCAACAGACUGACGAUUGAUUUUGAGACAUAAUUCUCAAUAAACCUCAGUAGGGGCUGGGGCCAAUGCCAAGUUGUAAGCAUCGAAGGGUAGCCAAGAGGCCCUAUCACCUUAAAGGGCCAAUGAAGGAGCAGAGCGGGGUAUGAGUGCCACCCCUGAGGGAAGAAUCUUGACCAGAUUGACCAUGACCACCUCGAGGUCAUCGACAGGCCAAUUGAGCUCAAGGCCACCCGAGCCGUCAAAGCUUCAGUAUGAGGAUGCUUGGACGGAUCUUUGAAGGUAGUUGAGGCCUUCCUCUUCUUCCAUGCUGCACAACAAAGUCUCUCCAACUCCUCUGUCCUCAUUUCUGCAAAAAAUCAAGGUGAAAAAGUUAAAAUAUAAAAUCCUGAAUGACAAGAAAAAAGGGAGAUCAAAUAGGAUGAGGAUGAGGAGGUUGACAAUCACUUUAUGGAUCGACCUACCUAAAAUUGAAGUUGAAUAAGGUCUACUCAAAUAGCAGCUCUUUCAACAGAGGAACUCUAUGCCUAAGAAGGGUCUUCAAUUUUCAGUGCUCGAUAUCACUCAACGAUUGAACUUGGAUCAUCGAUCUCUGAGGUCGGCCCCACGAGGUAAAGCCCUAUCCUCUCCCUUGGUAGAAGAUACAAAGAAAAACCUUUUCUUCCAUCCGUGAAUGGAGGAAGGAGUACCUUGGAUCAAGUAAUGCCCUCUCUUAAGUGAGAUAUUGUUGGUGUGGUCCCUCCUUAAUGGGACCCACUUCUUUAAAUCAAAAUAAAAAGGCUCACGUAAUCUGGGUGGUUUUUCCAGUUACGCACGAAAAAGCAGCAUGCCCGAAAAUUGAAAGGAGGAAAAGUUAUGUGGAAAACCAAUGUGGUAUACAAAAAAGUAAAGACACAUGGAAGAUUCCUUUUGUCAUGUGAAAGCCUUUGUGCACUGAGAUGUGGAAUCCUUUGGUUACACGAAAAAUAAGUCUGUAAAAGACUCUACCUUUUAUCUAUAAAAGAAGGCUUGUGGAUGUGAAGAACAGAACACGAGAAGAAAAAAAAUAGAGGAGGCUAUGAGGAAACUGUGAGCUACCAAAAGAAGAGAGGGAGAGAGAAGAAGAAAGGCUUGGAGGAUCCUUCGUUCAAGAAUAGAAAAUUGGAGAAAAUCAAUUGGAGGAGUUCGCUCAACCUUAAGUUAGAGUUAUUCCAUCGAGGAAGGUUCUUCUAGAGGUUUAGUUAAUCCUUGAUUUCUUCUUUCUUAUAUCAGGAGCAGUGUUCUCGAUGUGGUAUCAAAAAAAUUUUUUUGUACUCUAAACUAUUAUUAUAGUGGAAGCUCUUUCUUACUCUGAUUUCUGUGUGGAUGUAGGCUUCAAUCGAACCAUGAGAAAAUUUUGGUGUUCUUGCGAUUGCUGUGAUUUCUCUAUACUUUUGAUAUUAUCGUUAGUGUAAAUUUUUACUUUCGUUUAUCUAUUAUUUUCAAUACUCAAAUCCCAAUAGAUAUACCACCAAUUCUACUUUGUAGGAUGCCUCUUAAGGAUGAAACAAGCCUAGAAGAUCGAGAUGGAAAAGGUCGAAUGCCGACCAAAAAGUAAUGGGCCCCAUGGCUCCAAGGUGGGUCUGCUGGGAAAUAGACAGUACAAGCAUGUAUAUUUUUAAAAUUUUAUAGUGAAAGUAAUAGAUUAAACUAUUUAAACUCCUACACAUGCUUUAGAUCAGAUCUAAACUACCUUUCUAAGGAUCUAUAACAUGAAAUAUUGCAAAAAAAAAAUCUAAUUUGAAACAAAACACUGCAUCUAUCGUAUCGAUGCCUUGAAUCAGAUCUAACGCUUAGAUCUGAUUCGAUAAGUUCAGAACCCAUUAUCUGAUUGUGGAUCGACGAUCACCGCUGUUGAUACAUAUGGUAGGAGAUUCUUUCUGAUGUCGAGCAGCUGCACAGCAUAUUCGGCCUCUACAAGUGAUCCACUCGAAGUGCCGAAUAGAUCAUCCUUUCCGGAAGUGCUAGUUCGCAACGAAGGAUCUAGAUGGCUGAUGGAGACCCCUUUCUUCAGAUCAAAUGGAUAUCUCCAGAUCAGAAGAAAGAGCUUUUCAAGGAGGAGAUAGUGUGGAAGAAGAAGAACAAAAUAAUUUUUAUUUUUCUCUCUCACAAAAUGGGAACUAGGAAACCCUAGAAACCCCACGUCCCAAAGAGGAUCUUCUUCCUCUUUUUCUUAUGCACGGAUGCCCACCCCUCUCUCUCAGAUUUCUCAUGCCCUAUCUGAGGUUGCCAAAAUUGAAGUGGUUUGGCACACAAAAAAUCACCUCCUUUUGAGGUGGUGUCCCAUGUAGAGAUUGGAUAAUUUGGUUUAGGUUUAAACAAGGCAUAUCUUAUCACAAAUUCAAAUCAAAUUUGAAUUUAUUUUCAAACCAGAUUUAAUCCACAACUAAAGAACUUAGAAAGGAGGGCAACACAACUCAAAUUGGUGCAAAAAACAUCACGCAAAAAUUUAUUUUGCAUGUGAGAAGAAGGCUGGUCGGCGGCUAGGUAGAGCCCCACAAAAUAUGGACUCUUGAUUUAAGCUUGAUUUCAAAUCAAUUUGAAGUCAAACUUAAUCCAAACAAAUCCUUAUCCAAAGAGGAUCAGAAGAAGGCAUCAUGCACCUUCUGGGUGCAAAAAAUUCCACAUGAAAACUAUUCUCAUGCAUGAAGAAAGGCAGGGCGCAGUGAAAGGUGGCACAUGGGGUGUUCUUGUUCUAUUCAAAUUCUAAUUUGUAUUCUUAUGUAAUUAGGUUCUUGACCCAAUCAAAUUAGGUUAGACCCAAUUAGAUUACCUAAUCUAAUUAAGUGACAAGUAAUAUUGAUUAAAUCUUAAUUAGAUUAGAAAUUAAUUGAGCUCGAAUCAGGAAUCGAACAUCCUUAGCGAAAAGGUCAUCUCAUAACCUAAUCGGAUCAAACCAAAUUGAAUCCUAUUCAAUUAGAUUUAAUUCAAACUUUAAUAUUCAAUCAAAUUAAGUUAAUUAGCAAUCUAAUCUCUAAUCAAUCUUUCUUUAAUUCAUCAACAAUUAGCGAAUUAAUUUAUUGUAAUUUUUACACAAGGUUCAUCAUUAAUCAAAUUGAUAAUUAAAUUCUAGAACGAUUCUCAAUCAUUGAUCAGCCACAUGAUCAGUCGAAAACUUCUUUUGAGUAUGACCCCAUAGAUUCGAACCUAAGUCGGUAGCACAAAAAAUGAUUUUCUAAACCAAUCAAUGUAACCAUCUAGUAUUGAGACCCGACGUCCGGAUAGGUUGAAAGAUUGUAAAGCAUCAUUCAUUAAGCUAUUGGCAUAUGGUUACCGUAUAAUUCAUCUCUUUGACCUUAAUGCUCAAUAUGAUCUGAAGUUUAACUAUCAACCCUGGAUAUGUCAACCACAUUAUGUUUCAACCUUUCAAAUCUAUCACAUGGAUUAUCCUAACCAAGAUUUUACUAAAUUGAAACACACUGAUGCAUUAACUCCUACUUAUUCGAAGGGAUCAAUUCCAUCUUGACUCAUAUACCGAUUUCGCAAGUAUUUGACCAUACUCAAAAAUCUUUCGUCACUGAAUUAAAAAUUCAGGUAAUCCGAUACUAAAGUACAGUGAGUUGCUUGCAAGUCACUGUGGUGAUCUCAGAUUAGAGGGAUACUUAUACUCAUAUCAUUCACGAGCUAUUUUUGACAGCAGAGUAUCUAGCAGUUGGUAAUGUUUAAUGAGAUGUACUCCUAUAUCUCACUUGUAUGUCAUAUCAUUGUCUCCAUACUACUUGGUUACGAGGACAACCAACGCAUAUGACACACAACGACCUGCACAUUAUCCUCCUAGUAAUAGCGUAUCAUUUAGUCGUAAACUAAAUUUAAGGAUUAAACGAUAUAUCCUCUUAUAUCGAUUAAGAUAGUCCUAAGAACUUCAUCACAAAAAUUAGAGUUCAUUAAGAAGAUGUACACUACUUUAUAAUGAAAAAAUCAAAUAAUAAUUUUAUUAAUUUAUUAAUUCAUAUAUAUUUAUAUUUUUAGUAGAACCGUCAAUAGACUGAUGAUUGGCUUUGGGACACAAUUUUCAAUAGGAUCAUGAUUGAUCGCAUAGCUCCCAACUAAAUCAAUGGUACCACUCAUCUCAGAGAUGAUUUUAGGUCACGUCUAACGUUAGCCAUGACCCGGCAAGAUGCCAACCUAGUCGGCUAAAGGCAUACCAAGCCGAGGUAUCGGAUCAAGAUUUGCGAUGGCAGUUAUGCACCGAGCAAUUAUCUUAUCCACUCUACAUUCCAUAUAUACUCUAGAUUGAAUGAAUAAUGAUCCACCUCAGCCAAACAAAAUAGAAGCAACAUAAUUCUUUCAACCACUCCUGUCCUUCUUUCUAAAGAUAGCUAGCUACCCUUUCGAUAAAUAGGAGAGAAAAUGAGGCUCCCAAGUAAGCUCUCAUGCUCCACUCUCUCCUUCCUUUCCACUGCUAUCUAAUGACUAACUAGAGCAUCUGAGGGUACCCACUGAAAAUAAUUUUAAGUUCUUCUUCAUUUAGUGCAGUGUCAAACUCCAAUCACUCUAGAUCUGCUUGCUUCAGCAUCAGGUUGGCCUCUCAUAGCAAUUGUUAGCAUUCUCUUUCUUCUUCUUCUAGAUAAGAAAUUAAUGUGAUAUUCUAUUUUUACUAUCUUUUUCUUGGUUUCUUGAAGGUUUUAUUAAAGGUUCUUCUUCCUUGAUCAUGGAAGAAGCACUUUUGAAUUGUCCUAAUUACCCUCCAUCCUUCCCAUGAGAACCUCGGUGAGGCUAGUCCUACCAUGCCCUUAAAGCACUCAUUAACCUCACCACCCUAAUGCAGAAAGAGAAGGAGAUCAGCUCCAUCCUCGACUCCCACAACUCUUACCCUUGAUCCUUCCCACAACAACCUCGAUGAGGUAAGUUUCACCGUACAUGAUGAAUCUUCAUGAGCUCAAGUAAAUAAAGAUGGAUGAUAAGACCACAUUGAACUACUUAUCUAACUUUAGGGACCAAAUGAAAUUUUUUUAAGUUUGAGGUUUUAAAGAAAAAUAACAACCCCCCACCAACAGAUGGGUGGCGGGUGAUCUAUUAUGAACCUCUUUAUCGUUCAAACACAACUUGGAGAUCCAAAUUCGGAUUCUUUUUGGUAAACAUAGUCGGCAUUUACAGUCUCACAAUACAUACUUGUUCAUAAUGACAUCUUAGAAAAAACCUGUGCUCUGGAGACAUCUUUUGCAAGCAAAUUCAGCCGCUUGACAGGUCUGGUUGAGAUUUACGCUGCCCAAUUCACAUGGCAUGAUUCCACAUAGAGUUUCGACAGGGCUUGGUUCCCUACAGAUUUUAGAUAAUGGUAUUCAUCCUGAUCUCAUAUACACUUUCCUCACCAAUAUUGAAUUAUCAAUCAUAAAUGCCCACAGGAUAACAUGUCCUCGCACAGGCAGUUCAAACAAUGCUGUGAUAAACUAGCAGCCCUGAACAAGCACCUGCACACAAUGAUUGACCAAGGAAAUAAUAAAUACAGCAAAGAGGUCUUUAAUCUGGCUUCGAUUUGCUGUGAUAUAUAAUUCUUGAGUGCCAGAUGACAAUGGUAACAAACAAGUAAUUAGUGUCAUUGAAGCUUCUGAAGUCUCUGCUCCAGAAAGAGUGUCAGUUUCAGCAAGAAACAUAUACCUCAAAAGCACGUUCCAGUGACAAAGGGGUUUGAGCCACGGCAUCAAACACCUUAACUUUUAUUUACAAGUCCCAUCCUGUCUACAAGGAAUCAGUUCUAAGAAUCAGGUCAUCAACUUGUGAUCUACGAAAGGCUUUAGACUCAUGCAGCUGUUGGAAAAUGAGAAUGUAGAUUCUAUGCAUGCCACUGAAAAGAGGAACUUAAUUGACUAUAAGGGGGCACAGAAGUUUGCAUGCCAUUCCCUCUAUGGUAAAGUUCAUGAUCAAUAAACAGACGAGUUCAAGAACUUACGCAAUAUACAGCAACUUGAUUUGGGAAAAGCAUUUUUAUACCAUCAACCAAGUCCAGGCUCAAGUUAUCAAAAAUGAGAAUACAAGGCAAUCAACCGAAAAAAAAAAAAAGACUGAAUUUUGUUCCAGGGCUUAUGCAAAUUCUUUAUGCCUUCAAGCUCAUGCCUUGGUGAAGCAACAACUUGACAAAAAUUGAUAAUUAAAUUUUAAAGAAAGUUGAACAACAAUAAGUUGUUUGAUUGAACAGCCCAUCGCCAAGGCUGAAGUAUAAGAAUUAACUAUGAUAAGAUCACAUCUCAUAAUUCCAUGUACUUUCAGCUACUAUUUUUGGAACCUUCUUUUGCUCUGCCAGAUUGACUGAUGUGGAAAUCUGCAGAUAAAAAGCACAAAAUUUAUCAUGUAUUGAAAACAAAGGGGAUAAAACACAUCAAAUGCAUCAAGUAAUAUAUCAGAGACAAAAAGAGAGGAGAAUUCUCUAUAGUGCUUUCUGUACUGAGUACAGUUUAUUGUUUCUAAGUGGAGAUAUGAUUUAAUAAAACAUCAAGAAUGCAUUUAAUAAUGACUAAAAUUAAAAGAAACUGAUCUAUCUGCUAUAUGACACUCAAUGAUUCAUUUGGAGUAAAUGGAGCUCUUCCAGCUCUAACCACUGAUAAAAACACAGAAAAAUGUCAAACUUCUAUUAUCUUGACCUCCUUCUGAAAAUAGAUAGGUGCACAUAAUGCUACAGGAAGGCUCUAUUAAAACACAAUACAAUUAAAUUAGCACCGAUAAAAUAAUGUAAUAAAUCCAGAAGAUUACAAGUAUGGUCCUUCCGUUGUCGUUUGGAAAAGAGAAUAAGAGGGGAAAAAAAAAUGACACACCGGCAUAAUAGAACAAGAAUAUCCUGCCACAGCAUAAGAAGCAAUAGUUAAAGCCUUAACCCUAGUAGCAUGCAAAAGCAGGCAGUGCACCAGCAUAACCCAAUACUCGGCUUCUAUUCCAGUUUCAUAAAGAAAUGACAGCACCUUUUUAGGUUCCCAAAUAUGAACUUGUUGAGCAUGUUACAGUAGACAGAAGCGAAAAAUAUAGCAGCAGCAAACAUGCACAACACAGAUUGAGUUGCUCAAAGUUGUGGAAACAACAAUAAGCAGCUGGUAUUUUCAAGAUCUAUAUGACACCAUGAGAAGUUGUCAGGUCUUAGCUUCCUCAUUUCAGAUACUCUAAUUAAUAUCACAGCAUGACUCUCAAGCAUUACUUGAUCUGCCUCUGAUCAUUGCAACAAAUGAAAAAGCAUUUUUAUUCUGGCUCUGUUUAAAUAACUUGUACACAUGCAUGAUGCAUCUUAAACUAGUUCUAAGGUUCUAACUUUUAUCCCUUCCUAGCUUGUCAUUAACUCCAUAUCACUCAUAGGGCACUCUUAUGCUUGCUACCUCAUUUUAUUUUUAAAACUUCAAUAACUCAACCAAUUCAUAAAGUUGAUCUUAUCACUAUUCCUGAAAACAAUUCUUAGAUCUCAUUAGCAGGCACUGAUAUAGAGAGGAUAAAAUAAUCAGAAAAGAAACUGUAAAAAUUAAACAAUGUAAAGAUAAAAAUUGUUAUCAGAACUCCAUGAGUAUACAGAAUCAGAAUCCACUCUUUGAUAGUAGAAUUUUGAAGUAUAUAGCAUAUCUUUAAAAAACUAUACAAUAUUUAUAAAAGAAUACUUCUAAAUAUGUCACCUUACAGAUAAUCAUAUUUAAGAACACAAAAACAGUCCGGACUUGAGCAGUUUCUUGCAAGACAUGGAUGCCAGAAAAUGGUAUAGUUCUAUUUCUACCACUAGAAAACAGAUAACAAUCAGUAUGACAAUGUAACCUAGGUUUUCUGAGGACGAACAAGCAGAAGAGGAGGAGGGAGGAGGAGGAGGAGGAGAAAAAUUGUUUAUGCUUUAUUGAAACAGAAAAGAAGGGAUGUAUCAAAAAAAGAAAAAAGAAAGAAAGAAGAAGUAAAAAAAUGAAGGAAGAAGAAGAAGAAGAAGAUAAUGAUGAUGACAAUGAUGCAAACAACAAUCAGGCUCAACAUCUUUGUGUAUGGUCUGAAAAGUAAACCACUAUGAACAAGUAGAUACAGUAAGACGGUUAAAUAAGAGAGAAGGAAAAAACUUUGAAGAAACUAUGACUAGAGUAGGAAAAAACUUUGAAGCUGUGUCUAGAUUAACUAAACCGAUGUAUAAGUCAUAUGCCCCUUUCCUACGUUACCGAGAAUAAUAAUGGUAGCCAGCAGUAGUUAAUUUCUCACUCGGAAGCUGAAAUAAUGCCUUGUUAACCAAUUUAGACUACAAAGGCCAAUAUGCAUUGGUCUUUUGGGACUUUCUAUAAGCUUUUAAAAAAACAUUCAUAGGCUGCGUUCCACUAAAAUGCUUGAUUCAUAUGGACCCAAAUUGUCUGAAAAUCAAUAAACCUUACGUUGAUGAUGUUCCAACACACCAAAAACCUGAUUUACACCACUUUCAGACUCCAUAGAACCUUCUCAUAAGAUGGCCUUCAACACAUGCAAUAUCAGUUCUCCUCAAUUAAGGGCCUGUUUGGAAAAUCGCUGGAUUUCCUGUUGGAUUGAUGGACUGAGCAGUCUAUUUAGGUAGAGCCCAUGUCAAACUAGUACCCACCUAGCCCAAAUCUUAUGGGAGGGGUGUGUCUUUUUUUUUUCCUUGUUAUCCUUCCUACAUACCAAUAGGCCCACAAAUAGGAUUUAGGCUAAGACUAGAAGGGGCUUUUAGAAGAGUAAGGCUGAGCAGGCCAAUAAGCCUAAUUCCUGCAGGAAUUCCCAAGCAGGCCCAAAAUAAAAUUUGACAAUUUCAUUGUCUAUGUCAUGUAGUUCUUGAGUUAUGACUGCUCUCAUGCAAGAAAGGACAUAAGUUCCCUUAGUGGCAGAGUCACUCUCCCAAUAAAAUAUCUAAGAUCAGCAAAAGAGUGUGAGAGGUGGUCAUAUCAUGCCAAGUCUGUAAAAUACUUGCGUUGAGCAAACUAAGCAUCAAAGCUUUCCUACAAACUUGCUGCCCUUCCAUAACUAGUAAAAUAUUAUGGAUGAACAGAUUAAAAUGUUGAUGCAUGCAUCAUAAAUAUAUCAUGAGUCCUAUACAUUAUUUUGAGUUGAUUCUUCCCUCCUCUUUUUGUUUUUAAAUUAUAAGUUUCAGAGUUGUGAAUUUGACCAAAAAUAAAUUUAUGAGUUGUUAAUUCCACUGUAACAAUAAGUUCAUGAUGUGGAAGAUAUUUAAAAAAAAUCCCCUAUAUGGAUUGUAACAUGAUUAGCAUAUAACAAUUUAAGCAACAUACAGGUGCAGUUGUACAUGUGUGCAGGCAUUAGCAAUGUGCACCAUAGACUCACUUAUGUAUGACAAUCCACCUUAAAUUGAUCCUAGGGACCGUCCAUUAGAUAAUAAAAUCUCUCUUUUAACCUAAAUAGACCUGAUAAAGCCCCAUUAACUAUUUAGAUUGCUCUCAUCAAUCCUGAAAAUAACCUACUCCACCACUCAUUUCUCUCUUUGCCUCCUAGGCUGAACCAAAAUACCUUCUCCAGAUACAACAAUUGAAGGGUCAAAGCCCUGAAUAUUUUCCCCUCCUUUCCUCUCUUGUAUAGACAUUAAUAUUUUACUUCUCUUUGCAGUUUUCACACCCAUCAACUACUCCUUUUCCCCUCUUUCCUCUCCAAUAUAACUGCUCCUUCCCCUCUUUCCUCUUUCCUCUCCAUUUUCCACAUCUAUCAACUACUCCAUUUCCUCUCCAUAGAUAUUAGUAUUUUACUUCUCUUUCCAUUUUCCAUUUUCCACACCUAUUAGUAUUUUACAUACUCCUCUUCUUCCCUUUCCCUUGGCUACAGCCACCGUUUGCCGAACUGGAUGGUUCAGGACGUUUCGAGCCGUACCGACAGGAAAUUAGGAUGGUUCGGACGGACAAAUCGAAACACCUGAUGGGAAAGAGGGAAAGAGAGGAAGGGAGAGAGAGAAGAGGAGAGGGGAAGAUGGGACAACGCCGUCGGAGGCCGACGGUAGCCUAUCGAGGCCACCGGAGGGCUGUGGAGGCCUCCACAGCUCAAUAUCCCCUGAUAGCAUAUUUAAACUAGAGAGAAAGGGAGAGAAAGGGAGCAACAGUAUCGGAGGGAUGUGCAGCCGGCGAAGAGGCUGUCGGAGGGUGCCAAACGGCCACAGUGGCCUCUCCGGUGGCUUUCCCUUCCUCCUUUUCUUUCCUCUCUCCCCCCUUCCUCUCUCUCUCUCUCUCCUCCCAAAUUCUCCUUUUCUCCCGUGUCGGUUCAUGCCAGUAUGGUUUGGUAUGGACUCAUACCAGCUCGUACCGCCGGCCGGCCGACAUGGGUACUGGUUCCGAUUUCGGCUUCUUUGGCUACAGCAAUAACUAAGACUUUUCUUCCUGUAAUUUCCAUUUAUUGGAUGUGAAUAUAUUAAGUCUGGAAGAGAUAUCUCCUUUCCCAACAUGGCAUGGAAUGGUCUGUAUUCAUCUAGCAAGCACCAAGAUUUUCUUCUCCUUUUUUCCUUCCAGUGGACUUUAGCACCUUGCACCCUCAUUCCUCGUUCUUUCUUGGAUUUGCUAUUGAACAUCAUAUGGAUCUAGAACCAACAAUGAUUGCAGCCCCCUUCUACAGCAAUUUCCUUAAUUCAGCCCAUGCCCGUUUUUAUAUUUAUGAUUAAUGAAACAGCUGAUAACAGACUAUACCGUAGUGUUUCUUUAGGGUUGUUAUAGGUAAUAUUUAGUCUAUCUACUCGAGACGACUCACAGGAACAAGAUAUAGAAGAGAAUAAAGCUGAGCAUAACUAUGAAUUUUAUCUAAUCGUCCAUGCUUUCCUCUUCAAAAUCAAAUUUUGAUGCAAGAGAACAAUCCCAAGUCAGCAACAGGUUACCUUGAAGGACCCGUUAAACUUUGACUCCCUGUUCCAUUCCAGCCCGAGAUUCUUCGACGAUGUCUGAUAGGUAGCCUUAAGCGAAUCACCCCCUUCAAACUUUCUUGUCACCGCAAAAUCCCACGAGUUCUUCGACACGUCAUAACACGGCUCCAGCACAGUCCUCCUCAGCACCCCGUGGGUGUAUACAUACUUCACCUUACAAUUCCCCGAAUCCAAAGCAUAACUCACCGACACCUUGUUCGCCGGAUCGAACGCCACCGAACCAUCGAUGCCCACCCGAUUGUCCCCACGGGCAUGCGUAUAGGUCAAACUCACCGUCUUGUCCAAAACCCUCGCCGAAUUCAUGAACUGAAACCUCACAUCCUGAAGACAAAAAAACAAAGAUCAGAGAUGACACAUGAAAUCACAAACCUAAACCCUAAAAGUCGAAGCUUGCAAGGAGAAGAGGAAUUGGGGGAUGCGACGGAUUGCCUUCUUGGGGACGUUGUAGUCGAUGAUGAAGGAGCCGGGCUUCUCGAGGGAGAGGGCGAGGCCGUUGAGGGAGGGACCGUGGACGAAGGUAGCAUCGGUCAUGGAGGCCUUGAGCUUGACGUCACCGGCGUUGACAGCGAAGGUGGCGGAAGCUGAGCUCUUGUCCACCUCGUAUCUCCCCUUCACAGUCGCCUUCAUCUUGCUAUCUCUCUCCCGCUCUCUCGUCCUGUCCCUGCGCUCGUUCUCGCGGCCUUGGAAGCGGCGGACGGCAAGGACCGCGAGGAGAAAGAGAGAAGAAAGAGCGGCGGUCUGUGGAAUCUCCGCCGGAAUCCAUCCUAAUUUAUCCGCUAGUGGGGAUGAUGCCAGUGGGGUACCGGAGGAGACCUGGCGGCUCGUUUUUAACGUUUUUGUCGCUUACAAUGCUAGAGGGACAUACUAAAGGGACUCUGGAAGGAACCAACUUAGAUGUGUUGAGAGAUGGAGGAUUAGGUGGAUGGGCCCAUGAUUGCCAGUUGGGAGACUUGUUAGGUCAGGAGAGGUCCCAUGCGGCAUGCGUUGCAGGUGGGGAUGGCAACAGGUAGAAUGCCCGCAAAAUUUAUCCAACCUGGAAUCCGGAUCCAUCCCAAAUCUAAUUAUAAAAUUAAUAAAAAAAUUCAAACCCAUUCUAUUUAAAAUUGAUACACCCGCGAGAUUUUUGUCUGAUUAAAUGCUCAUCCAUAUUCAUAUUAUCACAGGAACAAAACUUCAUAAAUAAAUUUCAUAAGCAAAUAUUCAUAUUAUCGCAGGAACAAAACCCCAUAAAUAAAUUUCAUAAGUAAAAGAGAAUCCUUUCUAUCAAAAUUUUUUUAAUCUUAUAAAAUAUUAUACUUUUAUCAAAAUUAAUCUCUCAAAAUCUUAAGGACCAACUCAACAGUGCCACAACUCAUAUAAAAUCUCAUAUGCUUGAUUAAAAACCUCCAAUUGUAACCUAAGAAAUCUCUUUAUAUCUCUCAAGUGCUCUCCUUCUCCACAUGUCUUCAAAAAAGAGAGUGAAAUAAAGAGAAAAUAAAGUCAAAAGAAAAAAAAAUACAACCUAUAUGGAAAAAAUUCUUACCAUUUAUUUUUCUUUUCAUUUUUUUUAUUUUUAUUGAUUUUUUUAAUAUUUAUUUUAAAUUUUACUCUAAUUUUUUGUCCUUAGGCCAGAAGCUUAAAGUGAGUAAAUGACAGCCAAAUAUAAAAGUUCAGGGGAUGGCUAGUGUUUUGUGUUGGUGUUUAUAUAUAAAUAUUUAAAUAUUAAAAAUAUCAUGUCAAUCAAAAUUGUUUCUCCUUAGUCAAAAACUAUUCAAAAAUUUUGAAGUUCAAAACUUCUCAUUCAUCUAUUAUAUAUAUAUUUUAUAAAAAUUAUAAUAUAUAUUUAGAUUCAAAUAGUAGGUAUGGGGGUAAAUUUUAAAUCUAUUUAAUUUUUAAUUUUAAAAUUAUUUUGAAUUUUAUUAAAAUAUGCUAAAUGAUUUGGGGCAGAUAGGAUAUCCAGAAAAAUCUAUCCUACAGCCGUCGCCAGAACCAAGAAAAAAAAAAAGAUAAAAAAAAAUUUUCGUUCUGAUUUAUCUGCUGGUGGGGACCGACGGAUGGUGGUAGUAGGGCACGCUGGAGGAGAAAGGGCAGCUCAUUUUUAACCUUUUUAUCGCUUACAAUGCUAGAGGGACAUUUCCAAGGCACUGGAGAAGGAACCAGCUUAGAUGGGCACGGGAGAUGGAGGAUUAGGUGGAUGGGCCCAUGAUUGAGAGAGAGAGAGGGUUGGAUGGCUGUGUGUAUGGUCAAGGUUGCGAGACUAGUUACGUAGGACAUGCCCCCGUGCGUCGCAGGUGCUCUACUGGAUGGGGAGUGCCCCGGCAUGUGAAAAGCACGCGAUCGGUGCAGGGCGGUCAUGGAGCCCGUGAUUUUAUUAUUGGGUAAAUAAGUUGAUGGAUACAAUUUUACUACCAGAUAGAUAAGACGUGAGCACGUUUCUUGUCCCACCCUGAAACCUUUUUUUUUUUCCCUAUGAAAGUGAGCCCCAACUCUUAUCUACAAAACUCAAUCCUCUUAAAAAUUACAAAAAAAUAAAAAAAAAAUAAUAUUUUAAAAAAAAAUCAUGUAUAUCUAAAUAUGUUAAUAUUUAACAUAUAUAAGAAAAAAUAUUUUAAAAAAUUUUACUUCUUUUAAAAUAUUACACAUGAGAAAGUCGUCUAUAUCUAUGUUGGAACUCACUAUUGUGCUCUUUUUAGGAAUAUUUCCUACCAUGCAUGCAUGCAAAGAAAAAAAUAAAUUUUGAAAUAAUUUUGAUGAUUUUAUACAGCAGUAUUUAUCUGGAUAUGUCAGAACUUAUGAUAUAUAGAAAGAAUAUUUUAGAAAAUCAUGUUUCUUUCAAAAAUAUUUUCUUUCGUGCAUGCAAACUUAAUGAUUAGGAAACAAAUUGAAUUUAAAAUUUUUUAAAAAAUAAUUAACUAAUUCCAUGUAUGCAAAAGAAAUAUUCAAAAAAAUCCAAAAUAAGUUCGAAUUUGAGUAGAAUCCUUCUUAAUUAUUUUAAAAAAAUAUUAUAAAAAAUACAUCAAAUUUAGAUUACUUUAAAAAUUAUUGGUUGUUUAAAGUCCAAGAGGAAAAAAGAAUUUAGAAAAAUUUUCAUCUAUGCAUGUAGAGGUCAAAAAAUAAUAAUAAAUUUCAUAAUUUUAGAAAGCCAUGUCUAUCUAAAUAUGUUAGAAAUCAUCACACAUAUGAAAAAAUAUCUUAAAAAGCCAUAUUUUGUGUUAAGAAUAUUUUUCUCCAUGCUUGCAAACUAGAGGAUUCUUCUCAAUUAUUUUAGAAAAAAAUGAAUUUAGAGUUAUUUUAGAAAUCCAUUAACUAAUUUCAUGUAUGCAGAAGAAAAAAAUUAAAAAAAUUGAAAUAGGUUUGAAUUUGAGGAUUCUUAUUAGUUAUUUUAGUAGAAUAAAUAUUGUAAUUAAAAAUAAAAUUAGAUUGCUUUAGGAAAAAAAUAUUGGCUUUUUAGAGUCCCUGCACAAAAAAAAAAAAAUUCGGAAAAAUUUUCCACCAACAAAGAGGUAAAAAGAUAGAGUUAGGAAGUCACAUAUAUCUAACUAUAUUAGAAAUCACCAUACAUAGAAAAAAAUAUUUUAGAAAGCAAUAUUCCUUUUAGGAAUAUUUUCCUCCAUGCACAUAGAGGAUCAAUUGAAAAAAAAAUUUGUGGACUCUUCUUAAUUAUUUGGUGAAAAUUCAAAUUUAGAGCUAUUCGUAGAAAGCCAUUAACUAAUUCUAUAUACAUGAAAAAAAAUUUAAAAAAAUUCACAAUAACUUCAAAUCUAAGUGAAAUUCUUCUUAAUUAUUUUGGAAAAAAAUUAUUGGCUACGUAAAGUCCACAUACCAAAAAAAAAAAGGAAUUCAAGAAAAUUUUCCUUUUGGCAAUCCUUCUGCAGAUUACUUAUUCUUUUAUUAUAUAAAUUGAUAUUUAUGAUUGCAUUGUUUUCUUGCACAUCACUCAGGCGUCGUAUUGGCAACAUGUUGACCGAAUUGAGUAUAGGCAUUGCAUUCUAGGCAAUAUUAGAAUAGGUAUGAGCAUUGAAAAAAUGGACAUCUUAUUUAGCACUGACAGACACAAUCUCAUUGAGGUUUAUUUUGGUAGGUUUCCCAGUGUUAUUCUUCAAUUUUGGGACAUAGAAGAGAAAAGUCAACAAUGCUGAAAAUUGUGUUUCAAGACACCUCUCUGGAUCCGAGCUCUGGUUGGACUUCAAGCUAGGCCCGAAAUAGUUUAGAUUAGACUUGAGCCUAAUUACAAGAUCUAUUUAUCUUUUGGAUUAGAUUUGAAUGUACCUUUAAUUUGGCCCGAGCUGGACCCAAGCUCGAAUUCAUGAUCAAUAGUUCGAAUAUCUGGUAUGAGUCCGAUCCUUGGUUAAAUAGGUUUAGCUAUUUAAGAUGAGUCAUAAGCCAAUCUGAUCUCCAGUCAGUUAGCCAAUUAGCUAAUCAUGAUAAUAAAAUAUUAGAAUAUUUGUAAAUUUUUAGAUUGUUGUUUGCUUUCUUUAUUCAUAUAUUAUUUUUUUAUUUUUGUAGAUUCGAACUGGCUCAAUAUUUGGCCCAAAUAAGUAAUUUGUGCUGGACUCGAGCUUGGGCGUGAGUCAAACUUGAAUCUGAAUUUUUUUAAAAUUUUCGAACCUAAAUCUAAUCCAAAAUCCAAAAAAAUAUUUCAGAUCGGACUCACGUAAGGAGUGCGGCCCAGCUCAACCCAUUCUAUUCCCAGUCUUAUCUUUUGUUUUCAUUUUUACCAUCAGUAAAGUUUCAUAAACAAAUAUAUAAAAAAAAUAAGCAAAAAAAAAUUGCAAAUAGCAAAAUUACCAAGCAUGUUUGUACUGUUGCGGCUCAUCUUUGUGUAAAGUACCAUUAUAACACUUUAGAAGGACUCGAAGAAAGGGCAAAAUGGGUGCAUUCAUCAAUUCCCACAUAAACGUCUCUUGAUUAUUACAAUAGAUUGUAGCUGUACAUGCCCGUACAUUCCCCUUUUCCACGUUAAUGUUCUACAAAAGUAAAUAGCACAAAUAGUCACACAUUUGGUGGUUAAUUAAAAAGCAAUAGCAUGUAAAUUUGGCAUUUAGUAGUGAAAGUUUGAUGCAAUUUUCUCAGGGAAGUGGUUAGAGCAUUGAUAGUCAGAAAACAACUUGUUUAUACAUAUACUGGUGACGGAAAACCAACGCAAGGAUCAUGCACUUCCUUGCAAUUCCUUGUGCCUAAGGUGCCCCACCAACUUUUCCUGAAAAAAAAAGAGAUGCCCCACAGACUGCUUCUUAUUUAUCAUAAAUACAUGCAUGAAACUGAAUAUAGUUUUACAGCAAGAUGUUUGUCUAUAACAAAAUUUAGUUUAGCGUUCCACCAUGUGUCUGAUGAUCCAUGCAUAACUAUCUGGGAAGCGGCGCAGCGAUGAUUUGACAGUGAGUUGAAGAAGGUUCUGUAGGCACUGAAGAUUGAGCAAAUAUUUUCCUCUCUACCGAAAAGCGAUUGGACCCUCCCAUACUUUCAAUGGACCUCAUAUAUUCUGAGGCAUUGUUCUCAAUUAUCAAUGCAUCCUCCAGCUCUCGGACGAUAUCCACCAUGCUGGGGCGGUACGAUGAGAAGGGCUCGGUGCAUGCUAAUGCAGCCUCUACCACCCUCCACAUUGCCUCUGAAUGGUACUGACCCUUUAUGCUAGGAUCCACAAUUUCUUCAAUCCUUGAUUCCCUAAUGAAUACUUUUGCCUAAAUACAAAUAAUGCAUUAGUUAGAACUGAGCUUUGCAGGGCAAGACUUAAGAUUGCAGAUUUCUGUGUCAUAAUUGAACUGCUACAUUUGAAGGGAAAACAUUUGACUGCCAAACUCAAUUAUUCAUUUAACUAAGGAGAAUGCAAAGUGGCGAUCGUCACGCAGGAUGUACUGUCCAUUUCUUAUAACUAGCUAAAUAUCUAAAGUUAACAUGCAGAACAUCAUAAGAUUAAUGUAUUUAUGAAGCAUGGUUCUAAAAGAUGUCCAGCAUAUCCAGGUGAUAAUGUAAGACAUUCACCUCACAGACCAUGGGUUGGAGAAGAUAGGCAAGUAGAAUUGUGGGACUAUCUCAAAUCACCAUAUGAUAUUGAUGGACAAUCAAAUCUGACAUCUGCCUUGAGGUCAAGGAGGAGAAAGCAUAGACAAUGACCACAUACAUCAUGAAUAGAAAAUGUUGGGUCAAAGUAUGAGCAUGUUGAGAUGAGAUGUGGAAGGAGCUCACCAGUUGAAGGUGAAGUCUAGCUUUAGGUAAGCUCCACUCAAGCUUGGUCAGGGAUAGGAAUGACAAGAGAUAAGACCCCAAUCUUUGUUGAAGAAUUGAUCAACAGAAAGAUUGCUAUAUUAGUGAUCUCAAAAAAAAGAGAGAGAGAGAGAGAAGAUGCAAGGCUGGCAUAAAUGGAGCAAAACAAGACCGAAAAUGGGGGAAUGAUGAAAUUGUCUGCGAUUGUGUCAAAACAUUGUCUCUGUGACAAUGUGAUUUCUAGUUCAUGAUGUUCACUACGGUGAAAAUGCACAAAAACAAACUCAGGUCAUUUCUCCCAAGCAUGGGAAAAUAGAAACCUAUGAAGGGCCACUACAAGGAAAGCAUUUCUAAAAGUUACUUAACAUUCCCAGACUUCAUUAUGAUUUCUGAUAUGGCCAAAAUCUAAAUGUCUAUAGAUAAUCUUGAGCAUUUCUGUUCAUGCUGUCCAUAAGGCGAUUGCAUAUCUUGUAAGAAUUGUGUAGGGAAACAAUGACUAAUGUCCGUCAUUUUAAAAUUUGUGCUGCUUGUGUUUGUCAUCACAUACAGGACCAUCUUUGAAUUAGGAUUUCUUUAAAAGGAAGAAGACACCUUCAACUCUAGAAGCAAGUGUAAAUCUGCAAGAAAUCCAUGUCUAAUAUAAUGUUUUUCCUAUCAUCGUCCUGUGAGGUUACAAGUUGUACAAUGAUAAUUCUUAAAAUUCAGCCAAAGACGUAUAUUUCAGGCAUAAUGUAUAUGCAAAUAAAAACUGCCCACCUGCCACAUGAUUUUUGAAGAAAUCAUGUCUUGUAGUAAGUUCUAAAGAAUGGGAAAAUGGUGUUAUAAAGGAAAAGAAACAGAAAAAAAUGUUUUCUUUAUUUCAUAGGAAAAAAGAGAAGCAUUUUAUGAGUGCAGAUGCAAAAUAAAUCUUAAAAAGGGAUGGCCCAAUGCACAAGCCAUUGCAGGGCCUAGGAAGGGUCAGAUGUAUAUAGCCUUACCCCCAAUGUGGAUAGGUUUCUUUCAUGUCUCAAACCCAUGACCUUCAGUUUACAAUGGAACAACCAAAUCAUUGCACCAACGCUCACCAGUCACCCUCAGAUGCAAAAAUAUUUAUUAGGCCAAAGUAAUUCAUUGUGUUUUCUUGCAAAUGCAUAUUCUAGCAAUAUUGUUCCACCGCAAAGUGCUAAGACAAAGCAAUUGUUCACUGAUUGCCUGGCUAGGGAGGCUGCCACUGGAAAACUUCAUUGUUAUCCGAAGAAAACUUAUCUUUGUGCCAAACUUUAUAAACAUAAAGUUCAGAUAUUAUGUUCAGAAAGGGGAGUAUGCACUUCUUUUGGGGGAGGAACAAGUAUGACGAUAUAAAAAUUGAAAACCAUACCCAUUCAACUAAGCUCCACUCGUUGCGUGGCCUGUGUAUAUUUAGAGGUUCUCUUCCAGUUAUAAUUUCUAAAAGAACCACUCCAAAGCUGAAGACAUCACUUUUGGUUGAUAGCUGCUGGGUCGAAUAAUAUCUGAAAUAAAACAAUGUGAAUAUUUCAGGUUGUAUAUAUAUUUCCAUCUUCUAAUAAUUUUCUGGCUACUGAACAUGACAGGUAUAGGAGAAUAUAAUAAAGCUUGUUAUAACUUUGAGACUUGGUGGCCCAGAAAUCAUUCAGAUUCAGAAGUCAUUUGAUCACAAUGCUAGAGUUUUGAUCAGCUUGCUUCAAAUUCUGUACCAUCUUGCAAUCCAACUCAUGGGCAUAGUAUGCAGAUCAAUAGAUGUUGCUUGGGAAAAUGUUUUGGAUAUGGUUAAAAAAACAUAAUUCAAGCUUAUUCGUGUGCAGCAGCAUGCAAUGCAAUUGCUUACCAAAAAGUUGAACUUGAGUUGAGUAUGCCGCAGUUUUUUAAUAAUUUAGAUGAUUCAUAAUUAAAAAAAAAUUCCAGAAUAUAAGUACUCAAGACAACUGACCAUUACAUCAUUGAAACAUGAUCGAGACAAUAAAGUAGAAACUACCGUUGCUAAAGAUAAGAUGACAAUCAAGAUAGUCAUCUUUCAAACUUCAAUUACUUUGAUUUCCCAAAGGUACAGCAAACACCUUUCUCUACAGAGAUAUAAUGAGGUCAAAGAAGCUUGAAUUUUGAAUGAAUACAAAGAAGUUAAGCUCGAGUUUUACAGAACAAAUUGACUCAGAGCUUACAAAUAAAAUACAUAGAUAACAGAAGAAUUAACAAAAAAUUGAAUGGAGAGCACAAGAAGUCAAGAACACAUGAAACUUUUUGAAAAAAAAAAAACACAGCUGGGACUUGAAGAAAGUAAUGUGCCCAUAAAAUGUCAAACUACUUUCUUGAUGGAUUAGGUACCAAUGCUCGUAAAAAUACAUUCUCCUGAAAUGUAGGACUUUCUUCAAUGAUAACAAUGGGAUCACUUCUUUACUUCAAGAUAGGCAAAUUAUUGUGCAAGGAGCCAAGGAUAGUAGCAUAUAGUUGUAGCGUUUUGCGAGUAAAGAGUAUACCAGCCAUUCCCUCUUUAUGUAAAAGAUGAAGGCUAUUAGCUUAUAAGAGGAGGCUGAGGGCCAGCACUACCAAUUUGUCACCAUCUUAUUACUCUUUUCCAUUUCAGUUUCUUUUUU
rnacentral:lncRNA from 1 species